rnacentral:lncRNA from 1 species
AAAGCAUCUACCUGUAACACGGGGCCGAGUUUCUACUCUGUAAUCUACGUAGCUACCAUGUGCAUGUAUGUCAUCAACGAUGCAAAGUAAUUCAUCCGAACAGAUGGUUUGUACGUAACGCUGUUACUAUACACUUCCUACCUUGGUAAAUGUAUAAUCGGGUGGACAUUUUGAGCCCGUAUGCACGGGGGCCUCCUAUUAUACUGCGACCAACAAAAAACAAUAUUGAGGGGUAUUAUUCAGGUGCGCUUAUGUGCCGCCUACUGCGAGGUCUACAGAGCGGCCGUCGUGGGCCAGCCCAGCGGUACGUGGAUCGUCUUGCUGACUUCACACAACAUUUCUUUUUUCUCUUCUAGAUUGUGUUUAUAUUUCAGUUAAAUGCACAUAUUCAACAAAUAUAUGUACUUGCAAAAUUUUAGGAAGGCAAUCUAAAAUAUUUAAAAUAGGGUGAAAAAUUAGAGCAAUUUUAAAAAUGUUAACUUUCAAAAGCAAAUGUUUGUGACAAUUAAAAAAGGAAAACGUUUCCUUUCCGCCGGCGGAUCUACCAUGAGCAUCAACCGCCUCGACUAUGUGUCAUGUGUCACCAUGACCCACGUUUUUCUCUCAGUCUUAUCCUUUUCAGAGAACUCGAAGCUUCAUCCUCUCCUCAAAAAUAUUUCCGGGUCGCUCUCCUCUAUCUCUCAGGUCACCGCAUACAUAUUCAAUUCCUCACACACGAAGCGCCUUGCAGUCAAGCCACCAACACGCUUUUGCUGCUCCUAGCAGCAAGCAGCCAUGGUUUUCCCUCAUCCCUUGCAACAAGCAGACCUUACUCCUCCCACUCUUUCCUUUUUACAUCAAGUCAUGGCGCCCCAAGCUGCCAGUUUGUGAAUAUGUGGUCGAGCUGCUCGCGGUUGCUAGCAGUUGAUACUGCGCCAUCAGGGCACACUGCCACAAGGCUCGUCCCCGGUGCUACAAGGCCGGCGCUCAGCUCCUAUAGCCACCGAUGCUCUGUAACAGUUGCGGAGACUUCCCGCGGGCGCAUGAUCUAUCCGCAACUGGAUUUCUGCAACAACGACGUUGUUGCGAUUAACGGCAGCGAAGCUAGUGCAAGUAGGUGCAAUAACGAGUUUCCGCAACAUGGUCUCUGUUUCAAAAAAUUAGAACAAAUAUCUUGUUGCAAAAAAAAUUCUGCAACAAGCAAAUUGUUUUUGAAACUCGACCGUUGUUUCAGGAAUUAACAGGUCCAAAGUUUAUUUCUUGCAACAAAGGAAAAAUUUCUGCAACUCGAUCGUCGUUUCAGGAAUUAUAAGGUGUCCAGCUGGAGCGGAUCCGAUGGUUGCGCGUAGAUCCAGCGUGCUUGUUUCUGCAACUGGAGCGUUGUUUCAGAAUUUUUUGUGAUGGACGGAGGCGACCGAACUGACGAUCUGACGGUGCACGCGUAUACAUCGGACGGCUACAAGGAUUGUGGAUGAUUACUACAAAUCCAUCGAUGGAUGCCUAGCAGUCUCCAUUAAAAAAUAUACCCGUGAUUCAACAAAAUGUGUAUACAACGUCAAAAAAGUUCGAGAAAUUAAGAUAAUUUAAUGAUAAUAUUCCAGGACUUCAAAAACAAGUUCCUCACAUUUCAAAAAAAUAUAUAUAUAAAUGUAAAACAAAUAUUCGUGUAGAUUAAAAAAUGUAUAUUUCCAUUAAAAAUGUAUCGUGACGUUUUAAGGAAAAUAUCCGCGUGUUUCCAAAUAUUAACCGUGAGUUCUAUAAAAAUAUAUAUACAACAUAGCAAAAAUGUUUGUGGAGUUUAAAAUUAGUUAUUUCUAUUUAAAUAUAUACAACGUGUAUUUAGAAAAACUUUAACAUAUAUUAAAAAAGUUUUCAAAACAUGUACUUUGCAAAAUGUGCAUCAUGUAUUUCAAAAGGUCCAAAGUGUAUAAAAAGGUUUCGGAAACAAUCUUGAUGAGCCGGCGGAUUCACCGCGAGUCUUCCGCCGCCUCUAACGCAUGAGGUAUGUCUCGUAUGGGCCCGUGCACCACACUACUCCUUUCUCCCUUAUUUGAAUAGAGUCGCUCGUUUCUUAUCCGAUAUAGAUCCCCUUUUCUGGGGUUUGUGCAACUUGCUCGCCCGGGCUAGGCGACCUAGGUCGCUGGGGUGGGCAAGAAUUGCCCAACCCCCCCCCUCCCCCCGGUUCUUGUUUAUGGCGUCUUGGUAUGAGGGUGGUCGUCGGGGGUUUGGACGACUUAGUCGUGCGGGUUAGGCGACCUAGGCCACCGGGGUAGGCGAGAAGUGCCCUAACUCCCUGUUAGUGUCGUGACGCUUGGUAUGAGGGUGGUCGUCGGAGGUUUGGGCAACUUAGUCAUCCGGGUUAGGCGACCUGGACCACCUCGGUGGGCGAGAAGUGCCCUACCCCCCCCCCCCCUUGNNNNNNNNNNNNNNNNNNNNNNNNNNNNNNNNNNNNNNNNNNNNNNNNNNNNNNNNNNNNNNNNNNNNNNNNNNNNNNNNNNNNNNNNNNNNNNNNNNNNNNNNNNNNNNNNNNNNNNNNNNNNNNNNNNNNNNNGGUUAGGCGACCUAGGUCGCCGGAGUGGGCGUGAAGUGCCCCAUCCCUCGUUCUUGUUUCUGUGGCGGCUUGGUAUAAGGGCGGUCGUCGGGGGUUUGGGCGACUUGAUUGUCCGGGUUAGGCGACCUAGGCCAUCGGGGUGGGCGAGAAGUACCCUAACCCCUGUUCUUGUUCAUGAUGGCUUGGUAUGGGGGUGGUUGUCACGGGUUUGGGCAACUUAGUCGUCCAGGUUAGGCGACCUAGGUCACCCCGGUGGAGAUAAAGUGCCCUAACUACCUAUGCGUGAUGGCCGAUGUGCAGGUUGCACACUGUUGGAGCAUAUAUCUUCAUAUGUGGUUUUGGUACUUGAAGACAAUUCCUAUGGACUAAUGGUUGCCUUAAGUUACAUUUAUAGGAUUUGUCCAUAGGCACUUCUUGAAGUCCAUCUGUUGGGUUCAAGGAGUUUAUAUGAUGACCAAGAUGGUAUUCAAGGUAUUAUCCAAAGAAUGGUCAUAGAGACACAUGGUUGAUCAAGAUCUCAGACGAAGAGUAAAUCAAGAUGAUCAACACACAAAGCGUACAAGAUGUACCGAGAGGGAUCAAGUGAUCCCAUGGUAUGGAUUUGUCCAUAGGCACUUCUUGAAGUCCAUCAGUUGGGUUCAAGGAGUUUAUAUGAUGACCAAGAUAGUAUUCAAGGUAUUAUCCAAAGAAUGGUCAUAGAGACACAUGGUUGAUNNNNNNNNNNGUGGUAUGGUAAGCAUUGUCCAUUACGUGUUUGUGUACUAACCCAUGGUCUUCGUGAGAGUUCUAUGUGGGGGUUAGGUGUGUUUACAUGGGCUUGCGUCAAAGGGAAGAUCUCAUACAACCCAUGGAGUAUGACGUCAAGUUGUGAUCGUCAUCAAGAUUGCGAUGUGCAAGUUCAAGUGGAUCAGCACGAAGAUAGCAUGCUUGAAGCUUGCCGUCCAUUGUGGUGGCAAUGGACUUGUGAAGAUAUGCUGAAGAGUGGCUCACCCAUAGUGAGUAUGGGGGAGAAAUCAACUAGUCUUCAUCAAGCCAACACAAUCAAGAAAGGUGGUCCAUCUUGAGGAAGCCAAGAUCAUCAUCAUCUAGCUCACGAGGACGAGGUGCAAGGUAUAGGUUUGCCCUUGAUAGGUUUUCUGGUUAGGAUAGAUUGUUGUUCUACCAAGGGGGGCUCUCAAGUGAGUAGCUUGAUCAUAUCGUGUAAUGCCCCAAGUGUAGAACUUUCCCUUCUUGUAACCUUCCAUGUANNNNNNNNNNNNNNNNNNNNNNNNNNNNNNNNNNNNNNNNNNNNNNNNNNNNNNNNNNNNNNNNNNNNNNNNNNNNNNNNNNNNNNNNNNNNNNNNNNNNAAACAUACCAGGUUCAAAAUACUAGCACUAAACCCAGGCCAGUUCUCAACAGAAUGACCAGCACAUCCUCAUCUACAGGGGAAGAAAAUGUUUCCAUCAUCCCAGACUUAGUGAAAUUUACAGAGUUCAAAAAUCUGGAAUUUUCCAGCCACAUGCCCACUUUGUCUAGGCUUAGUUUGCACACACAUGUCACCAAGAGGUAAUUGACACCACUAUGGUGUUGAGCACAAACCCCUACAAUUAACACACAACACCCCAUGCCCUUGGGCUCCAUCUAUACCAUGGAAUCAAGGACCAAACUUUCAACAAAACUGCAAAUGCAACUCCAUAAGGUAUUUCUUCUAAGAUGACAACUACAUAGGUUGAGUUUCAUGUGCACAAUGACAAAGUGACAUGGGGGUUUGAACCCCAUGUUUGUGUCAUGCACAUCAACAACACCCACACAUAUAUCACACUAACACUAGCAUCAAGCACAACAAAACAUAAAUCCUAUGCUAACAAGAGAGUUUGCACACCCUCACAUAUGGGCAUGUGAUGGUACACACUCUCACAUGAAUUAGUAGGAUCACCCUAGGAAUCAUGUCAUCCUCAAGGUGCAACCCCCACAACAAUCUACCCUAGCUUAACUAGUAAGCUCCACCUUCACAUGCUAUCAUAGCUAGCCACCUAGUGCAUCACAUCACAUCAAAUACAUGUGGUGAGGGGGAGGCAUCCACACCCCACUAAAUCUAUGCAAGCAAUUAAAACUACAAGAACAACUUAGCCCACACUAAAGCUCAAAAGAUGGGGCUAUACUUGAUUAACUAGUGCAACUUCCACACCUUAAAGCACAACACACACAAUUGGCAAAACAUCUAGCAUCAACCCCUAUCAAGGGUAACUUCACUUCACUAAGGUGCAACCACCAUAAGCAUCACAAGGGUAGCAACAUCAUCUAUCACCACUUAGUGUGCAAAACACACACACAAUUAAAUCUACCCUAACUAUACUAGCAGGAACAGAAAUAAAACACCACUGUGUAAAAGAGUUAACUAAACAGCAGAAUUAACAAAACUAACAAGCCACUUUGUAUAGGAGUUAGGAAAACAGAAAUUAAGUAGGCAGAAAAAGAAAAUAAAGCAGAAAAAAAGAAACAGAGGCUCCUGGGAAUCGAACCCAGAACCUCUGGUUCUAGCAACAGCAACACACCACCACGCCACUGUCAUCUAGUCGACAGGAUAGAGGAAGGAAACAGGGUAAGCUGAUUCACCGAUCACUGUGCAAAGAAAGAGCAAAAUGAAAAGAGGCCGAGGGGGAAUCGAACCCACGCCCUCUCAUCAGGCACAAACACUCGCUACCACUGCACUACGGAUCGAUGUCUGAACAUAUACACACUGCAAAUCAGAAGAGGACACCCCCGACACUUCUGCUACCGACGACUGGCCGGAACAGGGGAGGUGCCUCGCCGGCGCUGCGAGUCGAAUCCGUCUUCGGCUCGUGGAGGGGAGGAAGCCCUCAUCCACACGGAUCCAUCCCCGCACCUAACUAUGCCCGAGGGGCUCUACUGCGACGUGGCCACGGCGACCUGCGGCUCCGGCGACAGAAACAUCACGUCGGCGAUCCCUACGGCUACGACGCCCGAUCAUAGGCAGGGAGGAAGGAGGGGGGUGCACUACCUCGUGUACGAGUCGAGGAGGGAGCGACCGUAGAGGAAGUAGCGGGAAGAAGAGCGCGUCGCGGCGGAGAUCGUCGGAGAAGAAGGGGCUCCGGGAGGAAGAGGAAGCAGUGUCGGGGACGUCGAUCUGGCGGCGGGAACGAGCCCGUGGUGAGGCCCGCGUGCUCCUGGACCCCUCGACGUGGAGGAGAAGGUACCACGGCGACGAUGGUGAUCUCCUUCACCCGUCGGCCAUCGCGGAAACGGCGGCUUACCUUACCGCGACGAGAGAGAAAGGAGGGGGGAGGGAUCUGGUGGAGCGGCGGCGGUAGGGAAACCCUAGCCGAGGCACGGACGCCAAGGGCUUUUAUAGGGCGAGAGGGGAACGAGGGACGCGCCGCGGUGCCAUGUGCGGGGAGCUUCGGCUCGUGGAGGAGGCGAGGUGAGAGACUGACCAGUGGGGCCGCCUGCCUCGCUGGAAAGGGGAGGAGGACGACGCCCGCGCUCGUGACUCGGGGAGAAGUGGGCUGGGCCGCGGGGGUUAUUGCCAUAGGCGACAGAUAGAGGAAAAGACUGGGAGGGGUUUGACUCUUUUUAAAAAUAAACUCAGCUAGGAUUUAAAUCCUCUAGCAGUUCUGUUGGGGUAAAAAUCGAAGCAAAAAUGCCUCUGGCCAUAAGGAGUUAUGGCCUAUUAGAAUAAAAUAGGAAAACAAUAUUUGGAGCCAAUUGAAAUAAAUGCAAAACAGUAAUUAAUUUACUGUUUUGGGUUUAUUUGCACCUUUAAAAUCAAAGAACAAAACAGCAAAUUCACACAUCAUCAUAACCACAAUUUACUCUAUCCACAAGACAUUUUAGAAUAACUUUUGGGAAGAUAGGAUUUUGACAUGAGAUAAUAGGAGGGAAAAGGAUUUUAAAUAGCAAAGAGCUUUGACAUAACCUAGCACUCACUCCUACACAUCACACACCAACAUCACAUGCAUCACACAAGAUAUUACAAUACCCCAACACCACACCUAGCAAGAUCACAUGCAAGCAUAACAUGACAUAGAAUCAAAAGGUAUGGCAAGGAUGGUGGCAUGGAUGCAUGCAUGCAAAGCAAAAUAGAAGGUGACACAUGAAAUCAUACAUGCAUAGAAACUCUCAUGACAAAGUCAAGGUGGUCCCACAUGGAAGCUUACAAAAAGGGAAAGUCCUACACUUGGGGCAUUACAAUAAAUCUCCUUACAAGAAAGUUCAAAAAGCUUAGCACCUUCCACUCUUACGUAAUAACACACACAAAUGAAAAGGGCGCUUGCUAGUGCAAACUUGACCCCCCGUCCCAUCUCGUGGGUCGCUCCUGCGACUCACGAGGCGACCGUCGACGCUCGCCUGAACAGGCGCGCCCCCGUGCUCCUCUCACUCGUCGCCACCGCCGACAGCAGGGAGGCUUCCUUCACCUCCUUCUCUCCUCCCUUGCCAUUCUUGCGGGCUCCCUCUUCCCGGCCGGCGACCAGAUCCGCCGAUAUGCCCUUCCUUGGCUGGUCGUGACCUUGUGUGUGUUGGAAUUAUGCCCUAGAGGCAAUAAUAAAUAUAGUUAUUAUUAUAAUUCCUGUAUCAAGAUAAUCGUUUAUUAUCCAUGCUAUAAUUGUAUUGAAUGAAGACUCAUUUACAUGUGUGGAUACAUAGACAAAACACUGUCCCUAGCAAGCCUCUAGUUGGCUAGCCAGUUGAUCAAAGAUAGUCGGUGUCUUCUGAUUAUGAACAAGGUGUUGUUGCUUGAUAACUAGAUCACGUCAUUAGGAGAAUCACGUGAUGGACUAGACCCAAACUAAUAGACGUAGCAUGUUGAUCGUGUCAUNNNNNNNNNNNNNNNNNNNNNNNNNNNNNNNNNNNNNNNNNNNNNNNNNNNNNNNNNNNNNNNNNNNNNNNNNNNNNNNNNNNNNNNNNNNNNNNNNNNNGCUGGAGAUGCUCUAAUAAAAGAGCUACUACUUCUGAUCGUCAGUCAUAUAUUUGUCUUAAAGUUGUCUUAAAUUACCCACUUCUUUUUCUCCUCCCUUUCUUUCUUUAUGGGAGCAAGCCUCCCCAGCGUGGGUUCAUGGGCCGGCCCAUGUGUUCAAGUUUUUUUUUUCAAUUUCUAUGCCUUUUCUUUUCUCAUUUCAAUUUUUAUUUUCCCGUCUUUCAAUUAAUUCUGGAUUCCUGGAAAUUCUAAACUUCAAAAGUUGUGAGUUUUGAUAAUAAUGUUCAUUAAACCAUAAAAUGGUUGGGAAAUCAUAAAAUGUCCACGGAUUAGAAUGGUGAUUCUGAAAACUGUUCGCAUAUUAUAAAAUAAAUUCAUGAUAUCGGAAAAUAUAUUCAAAAGAUAAAAAUCAUUCAUGAUUUUGGAAAUGAUCAUCUUUUCAAAAUAUAUUCAUGAAUUCGAAGAAAAUGUCUAUGAAAAUUUUCAGAAAUGUUCAUACAAACUAAAAAAACAUGAAUUCCAAAAUGUGUUCCCAAUCUUUUUUAAAGUUCAUUGUUUCAAAAAAAAUCGUUGAUUAAAAAACUUUCCUUGCAUUUCACAAGAUGUUUGCCUAAACGGAACAAAUGUUCGUGAAUUUCAAAUUUGUCCCUAAAUUUCAGAAAUAUAUUUGAAGAAUAAAAAAAACUAUGACUUGCAAUCUUCACUGCCCCAAGGAAUGAAGACGUGCCACACCAAUUCCAGUGGCCUGCUGACGCGACAAGAGUCUACACUGCAAAGGCUACCUAUAACAGACUGUGCAUGGGAAAGGAGAGAGCUGCCUCGUCGGAGUGCAUCUGGAGGAGUUGGGUUCCCCUGCGUUGCAAAAAAAUUACGUGGAUAAUGUUGCAAUACAGGCUCUGGACACUUGACAUGAGAGCGAGACAUGGGCUACAAGACGAACCUUCCGCCUCGUUCUCUUGCUUACAAGACCAAGACAAUGUUCACCACAUCCUCUGCCACUGUGUGUAUGCGAGAGAAGUUUGGCACGAACGCUUUGAGAGCCUCAACCUCAACCUCACACCGCCCGCCCCACCUAGUACGUUCGGAGACUAAUGGUUUGAUCGGAGUGGGCUCUUUUCGGGGAGAACCCUCCGUGGCUUCGACUUAUUCGUGAUCGGAACUGCUUGGGCAAUCUGGAAGCAAAGAAACGCGAGAGUUUUUAACAAGACCAAUAACCAGAUAACUCCAGCACAAAUAAUCGGACUUGUGAUUGUCAAGAUCAAGGAAUGGAAGCUCAACGGAUUUGGUGUAGGAGGUUUAGAUCCUUUUGUGAGAGAGUAGCUUUGUUGUUUCUUUGUUGGUGUUGGUGUACCCCACCAAUUGGAAUGUUCAUAUUCUAAUUGGUGUCUUGUUAACUCUAUUCUGCCUUCCAUAAAAAUAUGGUACAUCAUUGGCGUACUCUCAAAAAAAUAAGGGUAUGGUCAAUGCAUAGCCUCAUGAUGAUGCCUCGUAUGUUAGGAUCGGAUGUCAGAAAAAAGUAGGUUCGGAUGAGGAAGCGGGGUCCUUUACAGGAGGCGGGUGCUUGAAGAGAAAAGACGUGGUCCAAUUUAAAAAGCUAAACAAGUUAGAGUGUAAAAUACACAUGCAUGUUUGGCCUAACUUUGCCACAGUCGUUCUUCCCUUCUCCAUCAUCUUCGUAUCCCACUGUCCUUCCUACUCGAGCCACCUUCAACGAUGCACUUGAUGAGUGUGUUGCCACAAUCCACAAGACUCCUCGCCAGCAAAUUGUUGUGUCGCUAGAGGCAGCUUAUAGACUCCCGCGUCGCUCCCCGCAGUGGCUCAGGAGAACCUUAAAUCGCCACCGCCGCCACCCCACACCACACCCUCCCUCCACGCUGCCGUCGGAUGGCGUCGCCGGGCAAAGACCAUGUAGCGUCGACGGCGGCGGGGCCUUCUCCAUCUCGUAAGAUCUCGGGCAGCGCGAGGGCGGAUCACUUUUCGGAGAUGCAGGGCGCGGUCUAUCUUCGGGCGGCUCGCCGCCGAUGCACACGGAGGAGGGGGCGUGCUGUCGGCCCGAGGUGGUGCUUGAGCGGGCACGACACGGAGCUACGCGUGGGCGGGCAUGGAUCUGGGGCCAUCACCAGCAUGGGGCUCGCACGGAUCUAGCGCGGUCGCCGGCGCGCGCGGCAGAGGGGAGGUGAUGUGUUGCUAGGCGGGUGUCGCGGACGUCGAUCUGCGCGGCGGUGGGAGGUUGCGGCGUGGCUGCUCGCUGGAGCAGGGCGCGCGCGGAUCUGGCGCGGCCGCACGCGCUCGCAACAGAGGGGAGGAGUGGAGCAGCCGAGCGUGCGGGCGCUUUGCAGAGCGAGCGUGGCGCUGCGUGCAUGCAGGCUGCUCGCUCCAGUGGAGUAGCAGGCCUUUGAGAGGCCGCGUGGGCACCGGCGUGGUUUUGCCUGCACACGGAUCUGGCGCGUCACUGGUGAGAUGGACGCCCGAGGGACAGUUGGCGGAGAUGAAUGGAUCCCUUGUUUGGUGUUUCAUCCUCCCGAUGGUGGUUCGGAAUGCUCGAUGAUGUUGCGAGUGGGAGGACGAGAUGGCGAUAGCUGGAGGGACGGGAAUGGCGUCGCUACGGUUGUUGCAUCCUUCGUCAGGAGAUGAAUGACCCGUAUGCGUUGCAUCAUCAAGGAGACGAAUGGCGUCUUGCUUGGUUGCAUCCUUCCGAUGGGAGAAGAAUGACGCCGUUGCAGGGGUUGAAUCCUCCAUCGAGUGGGAGACGCGGAUACAAGGUUGGAAGCAUGUCGAGUUUGCCGGGGAUGUGUGGUUAGCCGUGGAGGCUGGGGUGGUGAUUUGGUUUGUAAGAUGAUCGGAUCCUGGGCUCGAGUUGUGUAGGUGUGAUGGCCGGUGAAAGUCGUACUCCGGUUCUGGCUGGAGUCGUUGAUGGCGGCGCCUUCGGGCGUCGCUCCCUCGCUGGAGGCAUCGAUGUAGCUGCUCCCACCUUGUCUUUUCGUGUCAUAUUUCACGGGAAACCCUAGAUCUAGUUAGAUCGGACGAUGGUGGUGCUAUACGGCGACAUGUUCCCUCUUGGGGGGCAUCGUACUGAAGACGGAUCCAUUCAAAGAGAUCAGUGGCCCGUGAGGAUGUCUGUGUUGUAUGUCGAAAGACGUCGUUUGUAUGUUUUUGGGUCCGAUUCCCCUCAUAAACUGGACCAACAUUCUUUCCUCUGAUCAAUGAAUUUGGUAGAAUAACUACCAACAUUCGAAAAAAGACUCCUCUCCAGCAGACGCCCAACACUAGGGAGCUAGGGUCGUGCGUUGCAGGUGCCGCAAGCACAUGCUGUCGAGUUGGAACGUCUACGUCACCAUGUUGUGAACCGCAUGGUGGCUGAAAAACGGAGCACAUGACCUGUCGGGGCUUCAAUAAUAGAUGCGGUAUGCUCGAACGUGUCGGCGGACGAUUUCAAUGUUUUAACCCUUUUUACAUAGUUUAGCUCGAUCUAACCGUGUUUGCAAAAAAAAGGAUCUGAUCUUUUUUCCUAUCGCCGGCCGCUGUGGCGGUAGGCAUACACAUACCACCGCCACAAAGAGUGGUGGUAGGGUUGUUUGACUCUGCUGACCCGAAUAAACCAUCCGCAUUGACCCGACCCCCUACCACCAUAGCCGGUGGUGGUAGGAAAAAGGGCGAGAUCUGAAAAUUUUCACAAACGGGAUCAGAUCAGGUUGAAGUUAACAAAAAGGGUCAAAACCGUGAAUUUUUUCCCUCCCGACAAAGGAGAUGCAACCGGCCACGCCAAGAGCUGGAACUAGUGCAUGCCUUGCUGGAAGAUACACGUGUCGUGUUGGAAUUGUGUUCUGGCGAUGAUGGAACCGUGUCCCGACCAUGCUGGAAUUGUACUGGCAGUGCUGGAAGGGGGGUUGGCGAUGCUUCAAAGCUCCAGGACGACAACCGAAAUGUUGGAGCGAGCAGGCAAAAAUGUUGGAACCAGUAACUCCUCAAGGUGCAUGAGAAGCAAUCGUGCUAUGCCCGACGAUGAUUUUUUUGCUGGAACCGGCUACCAACGGAGCUGCAACCACAUGAUGCGAAUGCAGGAACCGUUACUGAUGAAAGCUGGAACCGGUGUGUGUUUUUUGCUUCAACCGAUGAAGCGGUGCGAAGAUGACGACAGGUGCCGUCGUGAUGGGUUGCAACCGACAGCAGCAAAAGCUACUUCCGUUUUUUGUUGUUGCGAUAGUUAUACAUGCGGCGAGGGCAGGGACGAUACGUCAGCGGACGAUGGCCCAUACGUUGAGGACUCACUUACAUUAGGUUCACUCACACGAGGCUAAUUAGGGUAGGACUGGCUUGCAUUAGGUUUGCUAACAGUAGGUUUUCUUCUUUAUUUUUGUUUUUGAGAAGAUCCGCACGAAAAUGUAGUACAUCCGAUUUUGUUUCUUUGUUUUUCUUCACUAUUGAUUUUUCUCAAAAAAAAUGAUGACAACAGGAAUCGAACCUUGUACCUAGUGGUUUAGUCCUACUCUUGCUAGCCAUCUAGGUUAAUAUCUCACUAGUGCUUAGAUACAGGUUAGGCUGCUUUUAUUUUCAUAAGAGCUGCUAGUGCAUUACUAAAACAUACCUCAGAAUGAGUGAGUUGCUGACUACAUACCGUGGUAACUUCCAUGUAAAUAUAUGGUAAUACACGCACAUCGUGGCUGAUAACUCACGGGCAAACAUCGUUAUAACUUUUGACCCAAGAAAAAAACUGUUGACAUACAUACACCGGUAACUUAUAUGAAAACUUAACAUGGUAAUCUAGAAAAACCACAAUAGAGCUGAUAAUUUACUUAACCAAAGUGUGUUAAUUUUUUGACCAGGGAAAAAAGUUUUUGAACCACCCUUUCUUGUAACUCGUGUUUACUAGCAUGGUAAUCUAGAAAAACCACUAGAAAAACCAGAAAAACAACUAGAGAUGUACUAUUGGCGUAUACGGUUUUCGAAAGAAGAUAAAAAAAUAUGUCCGGUUGACUCGACGUUAGCAUAGUCAUUUUGUUUUAUGUUCUUUUCUUAUGUUCCUUUUUUUCCUUCGGUAUGUUCCUUUUUUAUGUUAUAACUUCAACCUUUUUUGUUUCCAUUGGUUUUCUUCCUUUUUUCCUUGGUAUUUUUUUGUUUCUUUCUUGAUUUUUUGAUUCUUUGUUUCUCUUUCAUUUUUUGUACUGCUUUUUCUAUGGUAUUUAUGUUUUCUUUUAAUAUUUGAUUUUAUUUCAUUUCUUUAUUUGAUAUGAUAUGGUAUGAUUUUUUUCUUGUAGUUUCUCAAUGCAUGUAUACACUUUUUUGCAUAUUACACAUUUUUAACACAUUAAGAAUAUUUUUUAAACACACAUUUAACAUUUUUCAAGUACAUGAUUAAUAUUUUUUAUUUCAUGUCUAGUGUUUACAUACACAUUGUACAUUUUUGUUAUACAUAUAACAUUUGUAAUACAAAUAAUCUUUUUAUAUAUGAUUAUUAUUAUUUAAAUAUGUAUUUUGGACACAUCAUGCACUUUUAUUAUACAUCUUAUAUAUUUUUAAUACAUGUUUAACAUUUCAUAUAUAUACACAUAUNNNNNNNNNNNNNNNNNNNNNNNNNNNNNNNNNNNNNNNNNNNNNNNNNNNNNNNNNNNNNNNNNNNNNNNNNNNNNNNNNNNNNNNNNNNNNNNNNNNNNNNNNNNNNNNNNNNNNNNNNNNNNNNNNNNNNNNNNNNNNNNNNNNNNNNNNNNNNNNNNNNNNNNNNNNNNNNNNNNNNNNNNNNNNNNNNNNNNNNNNNNNNNNNNNNNNNNNNNNNNNNNNNNNNNNNNNNNNNNNNNNNNNNNNNNNNNNNNNNNNNNNNNNNNNNNNNNNNNNNNNNNNAUUUUUUUGUGUCUACUUUUUUGAAUACAUAUUAUAUACAUUUUUAUAUACCGGAAACAUUUUUAUAGACAUUAAUAUUUUUUGAAAUUUAUGGUUAAUAUUUUUACAAAUUCUUGCAAAGUUUAUUUUAAUAUAUUCAUGUUUUCGAAUGCAUGAUUAAUAUUUUCAUAUAUAUUUUCGAUGAGAGUCUUUGGGGGUAUAUUUUUUGACAUAAAUAAAAAAACGAUAAUGAAAAUAUUCUUGGAGUACAAACAAAAUUUAAAUAAAUAAAUUAAAAAUGAUAAUGAAAAACUUGAAAGAAAUAAAAAACGAGAAUNNNNNNNNNNNNNNNNNNNNNNNNNNNNNNNNNNNNNNNNNNNNNNNNNNNNNNNNNNNNNNNNNNNNNNNNNNNNNNNNNNNNNNNNNNNNNNNNNNNNNNNNNNNNNNNNNNNNNNNNNNNNNNNNNNNNNNNNNNNNNNNNNNNNNNNNNNNNNNNNNNNNNNNNNNNNNNNNNNNNNNNNNNNNNNNNNNNNNNNNNNNNNNNNNNNNNNNNNNNNNNNNNNNNNNNNNNNNNNNNNNNNNNNNNNNNNNNNNNNNNNNNNNNNNNNNNNNNUUCUUCGUUUUCUUUUGUUUUUCCCUUGGUUUUCGGCAUCUUUUUGUUUAUUUUCUUUCGUUAUAUUUUUCCUUUCUUUUCAUUAGUAUUCUUCAGUUUUUUCUUUUUCGUUUUCUUUUUUGUUUCUUUUAGGUUUUCCUUGUAUUCCUCGGUGUCCUUUUUAUUUCUUUGUCGACUUUUAUCAGUUCCCCUUUUUUGACACAUGUUUACUUGUUGUGACAACAUAAUGUAUAUAUUUAGCGCAGACCUGAAAACCUUUGGGACGUGCUACACGUUCACCCGCUGAUAUUUCCAAAAGAUUGGUCAGGUCGCGAGUCAUUUUAUGGUGUGCCAUCGAGCUGCCUGGCUACGUUCUUCUUUUCAACACGGUUAAUGUUGUAGAAACCUUGUAACAAUAUUUUGACAUAGCUCUUGUUACAAAAACUUUUACAACAUACAUUAUGUUACAGAUUUUUUUUCAUCUUCAUUUUCUUUACAACAUAGAUGAUGUUAUGGAAAAACUUUUGCAGCAUAAGUGAUAUCUAUGUUGUAAAUAUCUUUGCAACAAAACUCAUUUUGCAGAAAACUAUUGCAACAUAGGUCAUGUUGCAUAUUUUCAUCUUCAUUUUUUGCAACAUAAGUGAUGCUACAUAAGAAACUUCUACAACAUAGCAGAAAUUUUUGCAAUGAAGAUUAUGCUGCAGAAACAUACCCGUGGUUGAUGACGCAUGUUUCAGCAGCACCGCCGUUGUUCGUCGUCGCAGUUUGCCAUUCGGUCAUCACAAUUGCAUCAUAGAGGCGGACGGUGAUGAUUGGGGACUGCAUGAAGGAGCUUAGUGGCGAUGUGCCAAGCUCGGGCGUUCUGUUGCAGCCAGCAUCCCUGCGCCGGCCAACGACCGUGGUGGAGGCGGGCAAUGGCCUGGCGAGCUACGACACUUCGCUGAGUGUAGGUGCCUUCUCCAUGAAUGCGUCCCUGGGCACCCAUGAUCAAAUGGAGAGACGACGAAAAGAGAUAAGAGAGAAAAGAGGAUCCAUAUCGAAUAAAAAACGUGCUCAUGCGAGACACGCAUCAUGCGUCAGAGGCGGCGGAUGCCUCGCAAUAGGCGGCACAUAGCCGCACCUGAAUAAUACCCAUCAAUAUUUUUUGUUGGUCACAGUAUAAUAGGAGAUCCCCGUGCAUACGAGCUCAAAUUGUCCACCCGAUUAUACAUUUACCAAAGUAGGAAGUGUAUAGUAACAACAUUACAUUACGUACAAACUAUCUGUUCGGAUGAAUUACUUUGCAUCGUUGAUGACAUAUAUUCACAUGAGGUAGCUACGUAGGGAGUGUUUGUUUACAGGGACUUCUUGGUAUAGUGACUAAAAAAGUUUUUUUAGUCCCAUCUAAGCCAAACAUGAGGGACUUUUAGGGACUAAAAGUGAGCAUUUGAGACUAAAGAAAGAAGUCUCUAAGAGAGAGUCUUUUUAGGACUUUUUCCAACAGUGCCCUUGCUUUUAGCAUGUCAUUUUAUAACCUCUAGUCCAUUAGUAAGGGUAACAUGGUCUUUUAGCAUGUCAUUUAAUAACCUUUAAACCAUAUUUAGUCCCUGGAACCAAACAGGUAGGGACUAGGGACUUUUUAGUUGAAACUAAAAAAAAUCCUAUGACUUUUUAAACAAACAAGGCCGUAGAUUACAGAGGCGUGCUUGCAGGAAGAAACCCGGCCCCGUGUUACACGUAGGUGCUCUCUUAGCCGGCGAGAGUGCUGGUGUUGUAGACGAGGAGGGCGUCGCCGCCGAGGAGGCCGACGAGGGUGAUGGCCCAGAUAAGAAGCCCAGUCGUUCCUGCAUGCGGAUAUUAGGGCCGAGGAUGAGCUUACUGUUUUUGUGAGAGAAUUUGAACGAAAUCACUUCUAAAUCAUCUUCUUUUUUCACGAAGGAAAAUCAUGCUUACAUUGAAGAUCCUUUGCAUGACGAGCCUUGCUAUAGCUGACAGGAAAACCAAUCAGAUCAGAUGCAGUUGCACGCAAACCCUAAUACUAAUAUUAAGACUUUGCUGCACAAUGGUUUGCAUCACCUGUGACACAUAUUCUGCAGUCACAUUGCGGUGCUCUGAAAGAGUGCCGGUUUGCUCACAACCAUGUUGCUCUAUUUUUGUGACAUGCCAUGGCUGACAUACCCAGGCUUCUGGCGAGCAAUAACUCUUCCGCGGCAACCCGCUUCGCGAUGGAUGCAUAUGAGCUUCAACUCCUUUUUAUCAGACUGCUUCACUCUAUGUUGCCUGUGUAUAGCAAUUGCAUAGCUAUGUAUUGCUUGUUUAGCAGAUUUCUUAUCUGGGAAAAUCUGUCCAACGGCCAGACUUCCCGCGUCUAGGCCAACAACAAAGUGAAAUUCAUUGGUGAUGCUCAUAACCUGUAAAAAUUCUGGGUUGAUUGCUGCAGCGACCGCCUUCUCAGGAGGAACAACUUCAUCAUCAUCUGAUUCCGAAGAGGCAGAAGAAUGACCAUCAUCGUCAUCAUCUAGCGCCUCCGGCAAUCCUUCGACAUGUUCGCUCAUGUCAACGACCGCAGACCAAUAUCCCAUGUCAUACACUUGUUGGCCACCUGUUGGUUCCGAUGGGCCGGCGUCGGGGGCUACAGUUAUGGCCAUAUGUUGGCCACCCCUUGGUUCCGACGGGCCAGCGUCGGGGGCUACAGUUAUGGCCAACUCGGCCUCACCGGCACCGCUACUGCACUCGGCGACAUCACUGGCAGAAAUGAACUCCACAUAAACCAUGGGUUGUCCAUACAUGGAGUUAUUGGGAUUGCUUCCAAAACCCAUGUACGACGCCCAUGCUCUUUACCAGUAACCCGCCGCAGAACCCAACGAUUUCCUCCCUCAACCACGAAAGCCUCCAUGGUCAUUUUUUUUCCAUUCAUCGCUGAACCAAACACCGCUCGGAUGCACCUUCUAACUGCCGCAUACUCUACAUUAACCAUGUCUUUCACUACAACCGUAGUCAUCCCGCACCUAGACACAUCCACACCAGAAGGACCCUCACGUACAAUGUGCCCAUAAAACACUAACAAAUUUUCCAUAGUACCUAACGAGCAGCCGUAUUUACAUAGGUAGUCCACUAAAAAUCAUAUUCUUAUAUUUAUCUUGUAAUAAUAUCCAUUACUUAUCUUUUUUUACAUAUAACAAUUUGAGAAAUAUUCACAAAUGACUAUACAUCUAUGCAUAAUAAUUUAUAUUGUAUCAUUUGUGGCGACACUACAUAUACAAAAUAAAUACAUCAUAAAUUAGAAUAUGUCAUUCAUACCUCUGGUUUGAUAAGGAUAUCCUUACGAAUACAAAAAUAUCCUUCCGAAUAUCACAAUUAACUUAUUACCAGUAUAAUAUCAGCGAAUUCGACCUAUUAUCAUAUGAACAAAAAUAUUACACACGCGUCUUGCAUAUAUAAUUACUACACAUAUUAUCACAUGAACAAAAAUGCAGUUCCUAAGGUUAUCACCAGUUAUCACAUGAACAAAAACGGAGUCGACAUAUUAUCACAUGAACAAAAAUGUUACACACAUUUUUUUUUACCUUCCUAAGGUUUCUAAAAUGCAGUUGCAUGGAUAAACAUAUCACUAUUAAUUUAUGAAAAUAAUCGACCUAUCAUCACAUGAACAAAAAUGCUAGUUGCAUGCGUGCGUCCUGCAUAUAUAUUUACUACACAAAUUGAUAAUUACAAUGUUAAUAAACAUAAAGUACAUACUUAAAAAACUAAUCAAAUAGACUAAAAUUUUCGUGCAUGCGAACAAAACCUAUGAAAAUGAAUUGAUUUUACCUUGAUCUAUCUUUCUUUCAACUGCAACAUAUUCGAAAUCCAACCCAAAAGACCAGAAAUCUUGAAUCAAAGUGAAGAAAGGAGUGUGUUCUUCAGCUACAGAGAAAAGAGAAGACAGUGAGAAUAACCCAAAAAAAACAUCAUGCAUGCAAACACAAUCAACAGAAAUGGAAAACUCUUACCUUGAUCUAUCUUUUACUCAACUAUGACGUCUUCAAAAUCCAAUUUAAACCGUCCUAAAUCGGCACUUAAAAUGUGUAUGACAUAGUUCUUGAGAGAAAGAGAAGACAGUGAGGAGGAGGAGCUGCUGUGUGUGCUGAAGCAAGAGAAAGGAGGCAACGGGAGAGUGAGAGAGGAGGCAGCGUCGGUAUAUAAAGAAGAUAAUGUGCACUGUUUUGUCGGUGAGAGUUAGCGCCGUUUGCAUGGCAAUGCCCACCAGCAGAAGACAACAACCUCGGAGUCAGCACAAUCAGCGUCGCUGUCGUAGCGCGCGGAGAUUCGGCCGGCCGCCUGGGGUGGUGGCGGCAGGGCCCACCCAGGCUCUGUCCGUUACGGCGCGGCGUGGCGGGAACGGUAUACGCAGCCGGCCGCCUCAGCUGGUGGCGGCAGGCCCCAGCCGCCUCGGGCGGUGGCGGCAUGUUCCCCAGCCGCCUCGGGCGGUGGCGGCANNNNNNNNNNNNNNNNNNNNNNNNNNNNNNNNNNNNNNNNNNNNNNNNNNNNNNNNNNNNNNNNNNNNNNNNNNNNNNNNNNNNNNNNNNNNNNNNNNNNNNNNNNNNNNNNNNNNNNNNNNNNNNNNNNNNNNNNNNNNNNNNNNCCCCCCCCCCCCCGGGGAGGGGGUCCUUUCCGUUUUUAUCGUUCACAGAUGGUCUUUUCUGACAAUGACGUUCGAGAGGGGGUUCUUUUGGACAAAAAUUCACCGAUUUGUACCUUUCCUCGCGCAUGGUCCAUGCACGGCACCGCGCAGUGUCUCGUGCCGUGCCUGGUUUCUACUUUCGCCUGAGUAAAUGAGCAUCGAAUUUUCUUUUUCCUGAGGGAAAAUUAGCAUCGAAUUGAAAGCUUUCCGGGUAUUAUGCAUACGGUAUAUUGCACACAAAAAAUGCAAUACUAUCUUGACAAGUAUCGCUUGCGGGCGGGCCACAAGAAUAUUUUGAUACGGCUAUCCAUAGCCCGAUUACAGGUGGGACCGAGGUGUUCCUCCAGGGGACGAUUUCACUUUUUUUAACCAUUUUACAUACUUUAGCCCGAUUUGAUCCCGUUUUGCGAUGUUUUUGGAUCUGGUCUUUUUUUUCCUACCGUCAUCCGCUGUGACGAUAGACAUACACAUCUUGCCGCCACAGACAAUGGCGGUAUGGUCGUUUGACUUCGCUGAUCCGAAGGAGUCAUCCGCAUUGACCUGACCCCUAUCGCCAUUGCCUGUGCUGGAAGGGUGUGUAUGACUACCGCCAUAGUCGGUGGCGGUAGAAGAAAGGGUUCGAUCCAAAAAAAAUCACAUACGACGCAAGGUCUGGCUAAAGUUAGUAAAAAGGGUCAAAAUCGUGAAUUUGUCCCCUCGAGGCGAGUUAGCACGCGGGGUCAACACGUGACGCCAUCGAUCCCUCAGACAUGCUCUGAUCGUUUUUUUGCCUAAACGUUGUCUAGCCAGUAGGCGCGAUCUGGCAUGGGCGAGCGACCAAACGUCAGCCAUCUCCUGCCACAUGCCUGACAAGAAAGGGAUAGUGAGCGUUGAUGAUUUUGUCCUUUUUUCUCGGUCCAAAAAAUUAGGGAUAACAAUCCUCUCACAUUUCCCUCUCUUCUCCUUUCACCCACCUUCUCAACGACAGGGACUGAAAUCCCUAGAUCAUCGGCGGCCGCGGCCGGCAACAACCCAAAUAGCGGCGACGAGGGAGCGCAUACUGGCGAGGCGAACCACCAACAGUUCGAUCGAGAGGGGGGCCACAUGACGAGUGAGGUCAAGGGAGGUACACGCGGAGGUGGACAAAAUCGGUGCCGAGAGGAAGAAGAGGGCGCGGCGGGCUGCUUCAUGCCGUCAGGGAGUGAUCCUAGGCACUUUGUGAGAGUGAAAGGUGAGCCAUAUAAUAAAAAAAGUAAUACACUUUUCUAACCAACCAUUGUACAUGUUAGCUAUAAGAUGGGCUAUAGAUGACAUGUCAAUGCCUUAUAGUCAGCAGCUGGCUAUACCAUUAACCAUGAUCUCAUGAGAUGCCACGCGUGUUGCGACGGCUAACGAGGUCCUUACCCGUGGCAUAAUGCUGGGAGCCAUAAACUCGCUAUCGUGGCACCAUUCAUGGACGACAGUGCAGGCCGGCGGGACAAAUGGAGAGUCGGGGAGCAGCCGAACACUAAUGUUGGCUAGGUGGCCAUUGGUGAAAGUUGAGCGAGUGAGAAGGGUACUGUCAUGGGUCGAUGACAAUGGUGUGUGAAAAGGAUGUGGAUGUCGCCUAGAGGGGGGGGGGUGAAUAGGCGCUUUAAAAUAGUUAAGGUUUAGGCUUGAACAAAUGCGGAAUAAAACUAACGUUUAAUAUGUCAAGCACAAAACCUACAAACAACUAGGCUCACCUAUGUGCACCAACAACUUAUGCUAAGCAAGAUAAACAACUAAGUGAUAGCAAGAUAUAUUACAAUAAACAAUAUGUCUAUCACAAAGUAAAGUGCAUAAGUAAAGGGUUCGGGUAAGAGAUAACCGAGGCACGGGGAGACGAUGAUGUAUCCCGAAGUUCACACCCUUGCGGAUGCUAAUCUCCGUUAGAGCGGUGUGGAGGCACAAUGCUCCCCAAGAUGCCACUAAGGCCACCGUAAUAUCCUCACGCCCUCGCACAAUGCAAGAUGCCGUGAUUCCACUAAGGGACCCUUGAGGGCGGUCACCGAACCCGUACAAAUGGCAACCCUUGGGGGCGGUCACCGAACCCGUACACGUGGCAACCCUUGGGGGCGGUUACCGGUACCCGUACAAAUUGCUCAGGGCAAUCUCCACAACCUAAUUGGAGACCCCGACGCUUCCCGAAGCUUCACACCACAAUGAUUGAGCUCCGAGACACCACCAAGCUUCUAGGACGCCAAAGCAUCCACGAAGAACAAUAUCAAGGGUACUAAGUACCAAAGGUAGUAAGCUUCUCAACUUCUCACUUCCACGUAUCACCGUGGAGAACUCAAACCGAUGCAACUAAUGUAAUGGCAAGAACACACGAAAUGGUCAAGUCCCUCACACUCAAAUCCCUCCACAACAACAAAAGCUAUGGAGAAAUAUGAGAGGAAGACCAAGGAGCUCACAAAGAACUCCAAGAUCAAGAUCCAAGGGGUUCCCCUCACAUAGAGGAGAAAGUGAUUGGUGGAGAUGUGGAUCUAGAUCUCCUCUCUCUUUUCCCUCAAGAACAAGCAAGAAUCAUUGGAGGGAUUGAGAGUAAGCAAGCUCUAAGAAUGUCAACAAUGGAGGUAGAACAAGAGCUCAACCGAUGGAUAAAACCAAGGGGGAAGAAGACCCCCUUUAUAUAGUGGGGGAAGGAAUCAGACCGUUACCCCCACUUUCUGCCCGAGCUCGAGCGGUACUACCGCUGGCUGCAGCGGUACUACCGCCAGCUAGCGGUACUACCGCCAGCUAGCGGUACUACCGCUAGCUGCAGCGGUACUACCGUUGGCACUCCAGCGGUACUACCGCUGGCCCCAGCGGUACUACCGCUGGGCCCAUGGUAGUGCAACGGCACUACCACCACCAAGAAAGUCUUCACAAAAAGGUCCGUCCACGAACAACCGCUAGGCAGGCGGUACUAAGCUCCUGGAGCGGUACUACCGCUGACCAGGGGCGGCACUACUGCCAGUCAGUGGUACUACCGCUAGGGCCAGCGGUACUACCGCCAACUCCAGCGGUAGUACCGCUAGGUCCAGCGGUACUACCGCUCGCCACUGAAACAGCCAUAACUUUCGCAUACGAGCUCCGAAUCGAGCAAACCCAAGCUUGUUGGAUUCAGGACGACAAGGGCUAUCCAAAAGAUGUGAGACCAUGCGGUUAUGAAUAUGCCAAAUAUCUAGAGAUGUGAGAUCUCUAUGAAUGAAGAACCGGCAAAAACUCCAACAUCGAAAACAUCAUAGUAGAUGCAUAUGGACUCCGUUUUCUAUGAACUCGAGCUUGUCACGAAGAUGACCAUAAGCUCUAAAAGUCACAAAGAGAAACACCAAACAAGAACCAAGAAGUAUGAUGCAAGGAUGCAAAUGGUUUGAGCUCUCAACGAACGAUAUGUAACGACCAAGAUGCGGUCCUUUCCGAUCUGGGGGUCGAGGCCCCCGGUUAGGAAAGAAGCGCAUCUAAGUGUUUUGCAAGCAAGUAAACAUAGCACAUAAUAAUAAAUAAAGUAGACAAUCUGGGAUUCAACUGUCUUCUUAUUAAAAUACAGAGUACAACGCAGAUACAAACAAGGUAGUUCCGGUACGGACUACAAAACAAGGAAAAUGCUAUGCUACCCGCUGCAGGCCCACAAUCACGACCACGGCUCAGUCCUCUGGAUAGUUCACGUAGAGGCGAUUUGUCUCCUCGUCGUACUGCCACGCCAACUGGGUGCCGUCGGGAUCAUCUGCCUCUGGGGUACCUGUACCUGCUGGGAGUUUCGGAGGGAUCCGUGAGUCACGGGGACUCAGCAAUCUAAGACCUUGGUGCCACAACUAAUCAUGUUAUUGGGUAAGGAAGGGGUGAAGUGUUUCAGGCUGCUGCAUCCUAAGGUUGAAUAAGUGGCUAGCUUACGCAAGAGAAGAAGUGACAGUGUUCUAUACUACCGGUCGUGAAUCCUUGAUCAGAAAGUGAUCCUGAACACCUACCUACGGCAUUCAUAACCCCACCAUGUUCCCGGUCGAAGAGAGAUCUUCGAAGGGACAGUCACGGUUACUCACACAGUUGGCAUAUUUUAUUAGUUUAUGUUUAAGUUUUCUAAUACCGGAUGUUAACAAAAUAUUCCAAGUUGCCACAUAACCGCGGGCACGGCUUUCCGAAAGAUUAAACCCUGCAGGGGUGCUCCAACUAGUCCAUCACAAACGAACACAGGCCGCAAAGGCAUCCUCUAUCACGAAUCUCGUGAUCUCGUCGGAUUCCUUAGAGGAAAACCUCAACUCUGGGGAAAAACAAAGCCUCAUCGGAAUUCCUAUACGCAAGAUAUACCGCUAAGGUAAGACAAGGCUAGCAGGACCUCCCGGUGUGUCGACGACCCGAUAAGAGCCACGUAUCUCCGUCUCAGGACAACACCGUCUAUGCAAAGUGGACAAGGACCAAACCUCAAGUUACCCCGGGGUGGUCUUGCCGACUGCUAGGUGGUUGGACCAACACUCAUGAGGAGCACUGGCCCGGGUUGUUGAUUAGGAUCCUCGGGGUAGCUAUUCCCUAUGCAGAUUAUUAUUAGGUCAUUAGCAGAUAGUACCAAAGUUGGGUCCUGCCGGACAAGCCUUGACACUACGCGAUUUAUCAAGGGGGUUCCCAUAACAACCCCGAACGUGUUAGGAGCGAACAUUAUGGAAUCAAACACCGGUAACCGGUAACUAAGGCGGCAAUGACGGAACAAGACACCCGGCAAAAGGCUAGGCCUCCCGUCAUCUACCAAGUAUAUAGGUACAUUAAUUUAAAUACAGGAAUUAAGAUACUGAUAUGAAGCUCAUGACAACUCAUGAGUUAUAAUCACCUGCAACUAACAACGCUAACAUUAGUAGCUGAGCAAUGCCUACCUAGCCAUGCAAAUUUGCUAGGACAGGGUAAGGUGUUUAGGCUCAUGGCAUAGGAAGAGGCGAUAUGUUUUCAGUGGUAGGCAGCGAGCAAUAACGUGGAAUCGAAACUAACAGAACAAGUCUAGAUAUGGGAUCAAGGUCUUGUCAUCUUGCCUGUGAUAUCCUCAGCUUGGAAUGUUUCUGGAUCGUCCUGCACGUACUCUCCUGACUCCACGUAAUCGGUCUCCGCUCCCGGUGCUACCCAACACAAGAAUAACAGCCAAUGAACAGCAGCACCACAAAAUGCAACAAUCACAUGAUGCAUGAGAUGAAAGUUGAGCAUGCACCACUAUUUCUAACACUAGCACCAGCAAGAUAAACUACCACAAGUUCCUGGACAGAACUUUGCACUAAAUUAGUUGGACAUGCCUGGGAAUGAAAUGAACAGAUGCAUCUCGUAAAAACGGUGCAAAACCACAUAAAGAACUUUGCAAACGGAGCUACGGAUCAACGGGAAUCAACGAAACACGAUAUGAAGCCCUACGUGAAAGAUUCAUCACCACCCACACAAUUGGCACAAAUCUGGUGUUCCCAGGUUGCCAAGACAUAUAUUAACCCAACAUGAAUGAAAUGGAGCAAGGUAGAACACCCCAACAACAAUUAAGCACAAACUUUGAACAAAAUGUCAAAACUACGCAAUCUGCCAGUUUCUGCAUCUUAGCUGUUUGUGAGCAACAUGCAACAUAGCUACAGGUCUUCAAAUAUGACAAAUAAUAUAUGUGGCUGUUGCCAACCAAGUACACUACAAUCUCCAGCAAGAAUCACAGCAAAAGGAAUUAAACUCUAGAAGAUACAAGGCCACAAACUUUCCCAAAACCAUCAGUUCUCAGGGACUUCGUGAAAAUUCCUGCACCUGAGUUUCUGUUUCUGUUCUGAAGCUUUUUGACAGCAAUCAAAACACAAGCUACUGGACUCCAAAUGACUUGAAAAUUUACAGGAAGCUUCACAACCAUACCAGGUUCAAAACACCAGCACUGAACUAAGUCCAGUUCUUAACAGAAUGACCAGCACAACCUUAUCUACAGGGGAAGAAAAUGUUCUCAGCAUUCCAGACUUAGUGAAAUUUCCAGAGUUCAAAAAUCUGGAAUUUUCCAGCCACAUGCCCACNNNNNNNNNNNNNNNNNNNNNNNNNNNNNNNNNNNNNNNNNNNNNNNNNNNNNNNNNNNNNNNNNNNNNNNNNNNNNNNNNNNNNNNNNNNNNNNNNNNNNNNNNNNNNNNNNNNNNNNNNNNNNNNNNNNNNNNNNNNNNNNNNNNNNNNNNNNNNNNNNNNNAGGUGUUUGACACCACUAUGGUGUUGAGCACAAACCCCUACAACUAGCACACCAAGACCCAUGCCUUUGGGCUCCAUCUAUAUCAUGGAAACAAAGCCCAAACUUUCAACAAUAACGAAAAUGCAAAACCACAAGGUAUGCUUUUUAAGAUGACAAUUACCUAGGAGAGUUUCAUGUGCACAAUGACAAAGUGACAUGGGGGUUUGAACCCCAUGUUUGUGUCAUGCACAUCAACAACUCCAACACACACAAUUUCUCACAAGCACUAGCAUCAAACUCACACCGAAGACACUUUAAACUAACAAGAGGGUGAGCACACCCCCACAUAUGGGCAUGUGAUGGUGCACACUCGCACAAGCAUCACUAGGAUCUUUCUAGUAAUCAUGUCAUCCUCUAUAUGCAACCUCCACAACAUCCACACCUUCACACGCUAGCGUGGAUAGACACCUAGAUCUUCACAUCACACCAAUACAUGUGGUGGAGUGGAAGAUCCCACACCCCACUAAAUCUAUGCAAACAAAUAAAAACUAGCAGUUCAACUUAUACCACCUAAAACUCCCAAAGAUGGGCUCCACAAGAGUAGCUAGUGCAUCUUCUCCUUAAGGCACAACACACACAAUUAAAAACACAUCACAAGAACCACUCCCACCAAGUGUUUUUCCUCACCACUAGAGGUAACCCACCAAGGCUUACCAAGCUAGCAAUACCACCUCUACCCUCUUGUAGGCACACAACACACACACAUAGGGUCCUGUUCCCAACUACACUAGCAAGGAAUAAGAUGAUAAGACCAUCUUGCUGCCCAACACAAGGGAGGGAAAGUACAAAAACAAACAAAUAACAUAAAUAGGCAGCAAAGAAAAAAAUAGCAAAAACCCAUGCCAGGGUUCCUGGGAUUCGAUCCCUGUACCUACUGGUUUACCAGUCACCAACACGCCACUGCACCAGCUGCGCUACUGGCGACAGGAACACAACAGGAAACGAAAUAACUCCCCUUCCUGGCUACCGAAUAGGAAAAGAAACUAAAAUUAUGCAGAGAGGGGGGUUCGAACCCUGGAUCUCCCAUCAGGCGCACGCAUAUGACAGAGAGGUACUACCAUCAGGCUACGAACUGGAGUCUGGCUAAGACUAGCAAGUAAAGCAGAAAUACACGCAUCUCACGAGAAGCAUCCCGCCGGCGGCCGGACCCGAGGACGCUGGCGGCGCCACUCCCGGCCACCACCGGCAGGGGAAACCGUCGGCGGGGCCCGCGGGACUCCCGGGGGAUCCAUUUUCGCCCUGAGCACGGGAGAAGGUGCCUCCUUGGCUGCCUUGAACUGCAACUGCCGGAACCCUGCCCGUCUGGGAGCAUGCGGCAGAGAACCUGACGGGCCUCCCUGCCGGCGCUGCCGAACUGCGCUACCGACGACCAGAGGGUCCUCUGGGCACGGCGCUGCUGCCGAGAGGGGGGAGGAAGCCCUCCUCCUGCUUCCGCUAUGCUACUCGCGAGCUGAACUAACAGAAACCACUAGCGCUGCAGACCUGGGGUACCAACGGGCAGAGGCCUCCGUCAGAGAAGGGGGCGCACGCCCUGCCGGCGCGGCGGAUCCUCGCGCUGGGAGGAGGAGCUGCUGCUGCUACUGCUAACCCUACCAUCCCGCAGCAAGGCGACACCAUCUCACCUCUUACCCUGCGCCCGCUAUCUAGACGACCCACCGCAGCAGAGAAGGAACGAAGCUUCUACUGCAGAACAUGACCGAACCGCGGAGGAGGAGGCAAGGGCGGAGAACCUCACCUUGGGGAGAAGAGGGGCGUGGAACGGGGAGGAGGAGCGCCGGAGAGGAAGAAGACGUGCCAACGAAGUCGUUCCGUCGAAGACCGAAGAAGAGGACGGACGCAGCUCGCCCGGUUCGUCCCGUUGACGAGGACGAGCUCGACGGGGGGGGGNNNNNNNNNNNNNNNNNNNNNNNNNNNNNNNNNNNNNNNNNNNNNNNNNNNNNNNNNNNNNNNNNNNNNNNNNNNNNNNNNNNNNNNNNNNNNNNNNNNNNNNNNNNNNNNNNNNNNNNGGGGGGGGGCGCUCCUCGGGGUCCUAGCGCCGGGAAUGGGUCGCGGGGACUCACCCCGAGCCCCCGGACAUGGCGCCCAGUGCCGGAGACGACGGAUCGGCGGGUUGACGGAGGAGGCGCUGCACCCUCACUCUCUCUGCUUUCUCUCAGAAACUUACCAGGGAAGAACGAGGGCAGGAGGGAAGCUGGCGGCGCUGGGGAGGAAAGGAGAGGGAACCCUAGGGCGGAGGAGGAGGUCUCGGGCUCCUUUUAACGCCUCGGGAGGCGAGCUCGAGCCGCUGGAUCAAGAAGAGAGGGAUCGGGAGGUUGAGCGCGCGUCGUACAGGAGGUGACGUCGGGAGGAAGAAGGAGCGCUCGCCAGUGGGCUCUGUCGCCAGGGGGGGAAAUCCUACUGGGCCGCACGGGAGAAGGCUUAACGGGCCAGGGAAAGAAUCAGAUGCACAGGAAGUUUAACCAAAUAGAACAACAGAGAAAAGAAUGCUUCCAGGGAAGAAAAAAUAUUACCCAAGGAAAUUACUGGGUUAAAAACUAAAAGGAAAAUCCUGCUAGACAUAAGAAAUAAUAGCCCAAUAGGGAAAAAUAGGAAUGCAAUAUUUGGAGAUGUUUGAAAUAAAUGCAAAACAGUAAUUAACCUACUGUUUUGAAUUUAUUUGCACCACUAAAGUCAAGGAAUCAGACCAGAAAAAUUGCACCCCCUCGCAAGCACAUUUUAUCAACCCACUAGACAUUUUAGAAUCCUCUUUGGGACGAAGGAAUUUUGACAAGAAUAAAAAUAGGAGGGAAAAGGAGUUUAAAAGGCAAUAGCUUUAAAAGAGUAGCACACCCUCUUGCAUCACACACACCGUUAUCACAUGCAUCACAAGGUAGUGCAAAAACACCACUUAAUCCUAGCAAGAUCACAUGCACUCACAACAUCACAACACUACUCCUAUUAAACUCAAUGCAACAUGAUCAUGGCAUGCAAUCAUAAAUAUGGCAAGGGAUCAUAUGUAAUUCAUGCAUGCAAGGGAAGUAAGCACUAGGGAACACACAUGAAUUCAAGGCACAAAAGAUAUCCUCAAGAUCUCUGACAAGGUGGCCCUACAUGGAAGGUUACAAGAAGGGAAAGUUCUACACUUGGGGCAUUACAAACUCUCCCACACUACAAAGAAGAUCUCGACCCCGAGAUCUAAGACUGAAAGAAAUCGGGAAAUUCGGAACGGAGGUGAUCCUCGCGUUCCCACGUAGCCUCUUUAUCGGAAUGGUGUGACCAUUGCACUUUGAGAAACUUGACAGACUUGUUACGGGUCUUGCGCUCAGUUGCCUCGAGAACCGCAACUGGAUGCUCGCGAUAAGAGAGGUCAGGCUGGAGAUCGAUAUCAUGAAGAUGCACGGUGCGCUCGGGGUUCUUGAAACACCUCCGAAGCUGAGAGACAUGGAACACAUCAUGGACAUUUGCAAAGGUUGACGGAAGCUCGAGCUGGUACGCGAGGUCACCCCUCUUGCCAACCACUCUGAACGGACCAACGAAGCGAGGCGCAAGCUUGCCUUUGAUGCCAAAACGCUGCAUACCCUUCAUAGGCGAAACCCUGAGAUAGACAAAAUCAUCAAGCUCAUACGACAUGUCACGGUGCUUGCUAUCAUAAUAGCUCUUCUGACGGGACUGAGCUGCUCUGAGGUUGUCGCGAAUGAUCUGACACAUCUCCUCAGCUUCUUCUAUCAUAUCAUUGCCAAGGAUCUGACGCUCGCCUGUCUGGGACCAGUUGAGCGGAGUACGACACUUCCUGCCAUAGAGAAUCUCGAACGGAGCCUUGCCGGAGCUAGCUUGAUAACUGUUGUUAUACGAGAACUCCGCGAAAGGCAGACAAUCCUCCCACUUCAUGCCAAACGAGAUAACGCAGGCUCUCAGCAUGUCCUCAAGAACUUGAUUCACUCUCUCCACUUGACCACUAGUCUGAGGAUGGAACGCUGUGCUGAAGCGGAUCUUCGUGCCCAUAGCAGACUGAAACGAGUCCCAGAACUUGGAAGUGAAGAUACUCCCGCCAUCUGAUGAUAUCAUCAUAGGUACACCGUGCAACGAGACAACCCUCGAGGUGUACAACUCUGCCAGCUGAGCUGCUGAAAUGGACUCCUUGACUGGAAGGAAAUGCGCCACUUUACUCAAUUUGUCGAUGACGACGAAGAUAGCGUCAUUGCCCUUCUUGGACUUCGGAAAUCCUGUGACGAAGUCCAUCUCAAUGUGAUCGAACUUCCACUCGGGAAUCGGCAAAGGCUGCAAGAGGCCCGCUGGUCUUUGAUGUUCUGCUUUCACCCUUCGACAAACAUCACACUCAUUGACGAAUUGUGCAAUUUCACGCUUCAUACGGGUCCACCAGAACGACUGCUUCAAGUCAUGGUACAUCUUGGAACUUCCCGGAUGAAUAGAAAGCAGAGAAUUAUGAGCUUCUUCCAUGAUCACCUUCCUGAGAUCACCUUUCGGGACGACAAGGCGGUCCUCGAAAAACAAAGUGUCCCUGGCAUCCACAGUGAAACACUUAUACUUGGGAAGACUCUUUCCCACACCAAUCUUGACCUUCUUCACCAUAGUAUCAAGUAGCUGAGCUGCUCUGACCUGAUCUUCCAAGGUAGGAGAGAUCUGAAGGUUCGCAAGAAAACCCUGAGGAACCAGCUGAAGAUUGAGCUUCCUGAAAGACUCAGAAAGACCCGGCUGGAGAGGUUGCAGAAUCAGACCGUUGCAAUAUGCCUUCCUGCUCAAUGCAUCUGCCACAACAUUUGCCUUGCCUGGUGUAUACUCAACACUCGGAUUAAAAUCCUGGAGCAUUUCCACCCAACGUGUUUGCCGAAGAUUCAAGUUAGGCUGAGUGAAGAUAUACUUGAGGCUCUUGUGAUCGGUGAACACUUCAACCUUACGUUCCAACAAGAGAUGUCUCCAAGUCAUCAAGGCAUGCACCACAGCUGCUAGCUCGAGAUCGUGCACAGGAUAGUUCUUCUCCGCAGGCUUCAGCUGCCUGGAGGUAUAAGCAACCACCUUCCUAUCUUGCAUCAAGACUGCACCAAAACCCUGAAGAGAAGCAUCGCAAAUUACCUGGUACGGCUUGGAAUCAUCCGGAGGCGCCAAUACCGGAGUGGAGGUAAGCUUAUCCUUGAGUGUAUCAAAAGCCAGUUGACACUCUGGAGACCACACAUACUUGACACCCUUCUGAAGAAGACUAGAGAGCGGCUUGGCGAUUUUGGAGAAGUUCUCAACGAAUCUUCUGCAAUAUCCGGCAAGACCGAGAAAGCUUCGAAGCUGCUUCACAUUCUACGGAGGUUCCCAUUCAACAAUGGCCUGAACCUUGGACGGAUCAACCUUAAUGCCCUCGGCAGAGAUAAUAUGCCCAAGAUACACCACUUCUUUCAGCCAGAACUCGCACUUGGAAAACUUGGCAUAAAGCUUGUAUUCUCGCAGUUUAUCAAGCACCAACCUGAGAUGUUUCUCAUGUUCUUCCUCAUCCUCAGAAAAGACCAGAAUGUCAUCGAGAUAAAGCAAGACAAACUCAUUCUUGAAUGGCGAGAAAAUAUAGUUCAUCAAUCGGCAAAAAGUCGGAGGAGCAUUAGCCAGACCAAAAGACAUGACCGUAUACUCAUAAGAGCCAAAACUGGUCCUGAAUGCCGUCUUUGGAAUGUCUUCCUCACGAAUGCGAAUCUGAUGAUAGCCCAUUCUGAGAUCAAGCUUGGAGAAUACUUUAGCACCUUUCAGCUGCUCGAACAACUCAUUUAUGUUCGGAAGCGGAUAUUUGUUCUUGAUUGUCUUCUUAUUCAAUGGGCGGUAAUCGACACACAGUCGUUCCGUACCAUCCUUCUUCUUGACAAACAGAACACCACAUCCCCACGGAGACGAGCUUGGUCUGAUCAAACCCAAACGCUCCUGCUCAUCGAGUUGUCUCUUGAGCUCCUUCAACUCUUCUGGACCCAGCUUGUACGGCCGCUUGCACACUGGCUCUGUGCCUGGCUCAAGCUCUAUGACGAACUCCACUUCACGGUGCGGAGGCAUCCCUGGCAACUCUUCAGGAAACACGUCCUGAUAUUCACAGACUACUGGGACUUGCUCAAUGGGAUUGAUCUCACCCUUUUCAUUCAAGGAGAACAAGCGGACUGUGUCAUCGCGCGCCGCGAAUAUAAUCACAUCCUCCGAAGAGUGGGUCAGCUUCACUUCUUUAGCUGCGCAAUCAAUUGAUGUCUUAUUCAUGGCCAACCAGUCCAUACCAAGGAUCAAAUCAAUGUCGGACUUGCCCAAGACAAUAUGAGACGCCAGAAAAGCAUAAUUGUCCAUCUUGACAAAAACGUUCGGAACCAUCAUGUGAGAAUUCAUGAUCUUACCCGGAGACACAAUUGAAAGAGGCUUAAUCAAAUCACGAGUAGGGAACCCAUGCUUAAAUGAGAAUGGCCUUGAGAUAAACGAAUGUGAUGCACCAGAAUCAAACAAGACUUCCGCAGGAAAAUCAUUGACUAAGAGAUUACCCAUGAUCACAUCCGAAGAAUAUUCUGCCUCAGCUGCAUUCACCAUGUUGACUCGAGCUGAUCUGGGGUUGAACUUCACAAGAGCGUUGCUAGGAGGUUUGCCUGGAGGAGGAGGCGGCAGACGGAGCUGAGAAGUGCAUUUGUUGGCAUAGUGACCCUUCUGCCCACAUUUGUGACAAGUGACCUCUGCUGGCUGCCGGAACUGAAUCUGAGGAGGCCCUUGCUUCUGCUGCUGAUAUCUCUGCUGGAAUCCAGGGUUGGGUGGGCGGGAAGAACCACGUCCACCUGAGUGCUUCGGCUGCUGAGAGUGCCGAGGAGGAGGAGNNNNNNNNNNNNNNNNNNNNNNNNNNNNNNNNNNNNNNNNNNNNNNNNNNNNNNNNNNNNNNNNNNNNNNNNNNNNNNNNNNNNNNNNNNNNNNNNNNNNNNNAGGAGGAGGAGGAGAAACCCAAAACCUCUGUUGCUUCUGAACCACCUGAGUCGAGGAAGAGCUGGAAUCUCUGAAACGUUUCUUGGAGUUCUCCACCCUGAGCAAGGCUGCCUCUGCUCUGAGAGCUAAGUUAUAGAAUUUGUCAAACUCCUCAGGAUCGUGCAAAGCGAGUGCUAACUGCAAAUCCUCCUUCAAGCCACCCCUGAACUGGUAUAUCUUGCUCUUCUGAUCCGGAACAUCCUGCAAUGCGUAACGGGCCAGCUCGUGGAACUCAACAUUAUACUUGUACACAGAAUUGCUGCCCUGCUUCAAGCGCCUGAACUUCUCACGCAUCUCCUCAACAAAACUGGAAGGAAUGUAGUGGGAUCUGAAGUCACGACAAAACUCGUCCCAAGACAUCGCCCUGCCACCUCUGGAAUCCUUAAGCUGCUGCCACCAAAUAGAAGCCUGCCCCUUCAACUGGAAUGUUGCAAACUUGACAUAAUCCUCUGGACGGACAUUGCUACACUCGAAAUGCUUGUUCAUAUCAUGGAUCCAAUCUUCCGCGUCAAACGGCUGGUCGCAAGAAGUGAACGUCCUAGGCUGGUUUGACAGGAACUGACUCAGGCUGGCGAAGUGAUUGCCACCCUGCUGGAAAUUGCCUUGCUGAUGAUUGGCUCUCUCCUGGAUCAACUGCAACAGCAUCUGAGUAUUUGCAUUGGUAGCUGCCAUCAUCGCCUGCCAGGCCUCUGCAGGAGGAGGCGGCGGCGGUGGCGGAGGAGGAGGUGGAGGCGGCAUAUCCUCACGCGCUGGGGUCUGACGAGUUGGUGGAGCCAUCCUGAAGACGGACAACAUAUUAGUCCACAGAAUAUUUGACGAUAAGCUGAAUCAAAAGACAGAAUAUCUGAAUAGAACUUAGCAUUGCACUCGAACAACAUAGCAAGAGUGCAUUCUCAAAGUAACAGACGACAAAAUUCCGAUAAGGGGCCACAACAAACAAGUGUGAGCUAGAACUGCUCGGAACAAACAUAUGAUCGGGAUUUCCCAAACCUCAAUCAAGCGUCUGUAGGAAGAUAGUCCUAUAAGAUACUACCUGAUAUCCCACCUAUGAAUUCCCGAAAUAACUGGUCAUGUAAUCAGGCACACGGAUACAAGGAGUAAUUCACACAACUCCUAAUCUAAACCAUCACCUGUAUCACAUCCUUCAACACACAACCAGCAUCUCGGACCUUCGUCUACAACAGAUCCUCGUGAUCACAACGAUACAAAGUGUGGUAGUACCCCCGAACAAUCUACACCAGUACUGGGGACGUCGGGGUUAUCUCACCACUACCCGUAUUGAAGCAACAACGAAGACCCUCCGUUCUUAGGUACUCAGAAAUCUGAAUGAUGGCGAUGUGCGCGACAAUCCCUGGAGCUCAACUCCCCUGAUACUUAGAGCAGAUAGGAGGCACCAGGACACGAUUCCGUCACAUCGAAAUCAUAUAGAUUUCGCAAACACCCGCGUGAUCCUAAAAAAAAUAAAAUUUUGAGCGAGAAAAAGGAGUAGAGUUAAAGAUUUCCUAAGACGGAAGCCUCACCAGAGCAAAGAAGAGGAGAAAAAUGAAACCUACUCUCCGAUAUAACUAAGACUCAAAACAUUUACUAGACUCGACUCGGCCAAAUACGAUCACACAAAGGCUCCUAUGGUCGUAAGGCUCUGAUUACCAACUUGUAACGACCAAGAUGNNNNNNNNNNNNNNNNNNNNNNNNNNNNNNNNNNNNNNNNNNNNNNNNNNNNNNNNNNNNNNNNNNNNNNNNNNNNNNNNNNNNNNNNNNNNNNNNNNNNAUUUUAUUUGUGUCUAGAGUUGUGUUGUGAUAUCCUCCCGUGAGUCCUUGGGUUUGAUCGUACGCAUUUGCGUGUUUGGUUAGCGUACGAUUAAGCCGAGGGCGUCAAAGAAUGCCGAUCAUCAUCAUGUCGGGGCUCGUAAGGCCCACCCUGCGGAGGGGUGCGUGAACGGUGAUGAUCUUCGGGAUUCAUGGAACGGCUGCCUCCUCUGCAUCGCUGAUGAGAAUCGGGACUGAAAACCGACCGAUGCGUGUUCACGUGAACAGAACUGUUGUGGAUCCUGUUGUGCGACUGGGAGACUGCCAAAUUCUGCUGCUGCGCCGUGUGCAACAGGGCACGGAUCUGCUCGGUCCCUCUACCAGCCUGUGAAUCAGUCGGUUGGAGGGAAUCGGGUAUCUUGGCAGCGGCAGCCAGGUUAAGGACGGGUGUGCGGAACACCUCCACGUUGCUCUGACGAGUGCGUCGACUGGCAGAACGGUGGGGUUGAUGGCGAGCACCGGAUGACUCGCCGACCUCGUGCUCGUUCUGGCCAGUCCGGCGGGGGCUUUCAUGGGAAUUGGCCAUGAGAACUUUGGCUGCAGGCCCGCGACCCAAGUACUCGGAAGGUAACUCAGUCGGAACUGAGUCCAACCACUGGGACGGCGGCGAGACCACAACCGACUCGAGGACCGCCACUUGAGAGGACGCGUUCUGGCGCGCCUGGGCGUGUCGCACCCAACGCUGGAACUGCGGACGGCGGGACCGCUUGUUGCGGCGCGUGACAGGGGCGAAGAUCGACACCGGAGCCGAUUGCUGGAGAAGAAGGACGCCGCGGGCGCCUGCACGGAAGUGCGUAGCCCCGCGACUGGGGAGCGCCUCGACGUCGAGAGGCGCAUCCCGAAGCCAUGCCGAAUCGUCGACGAUGAAAGAGAGUGCACCGAAGAGGAUCUCACGACCCAUGCACAAAUCUCCACCGGACGACAUGAUGAAAAGAUGAAGUUGCAAACUCGCCGGAAGUCGCUUAGACGCAUGCACCAAGGUGGGCGCCAACUGUCGUGGGUAUAAGUCUGAAAGUAGAUGUAUAGGGUACGAAAGGAUGGGCAGAGCCUUAGCUACGGCGAGGUUGUAUGAGUUCAGGCCCCUCAAUGGUGGAGUUAAAAGCCCGACGUCUCAGUGCUCUUGGGAGCUUAGUGUCGAGUGGAAUAUAGGGUUACAGUAAAUGCCAACCCCUGCACCAGUGGGGAAGGGCAGCUUAUAUAGAGUGCGCUGCCCUUCACAACGGCCCGGUGGACAGGGGUGGAGUAGUGGUGAAUAAAUGCCUACGUUACAGGUAACGUAUGCCUUAAAUGCUAAUAAUGGUGUAUGAAAACGUAUGACCGUUGCCCUCCAGGGAGGUUACGAUGUACAGAGUGGAAUCCAGUCGGUACGUUUAAUACGCUCUGAAUGCUCGUCACCGACUGGAUGAUGGGGGAGUCGUCACCGACUGGAUGAUGGGAGGUCCUUAGUUCAGUCGGAACUGUCUAAGGGCCUUGCCCUUUAUGAAGGGUAGUCCUUGGGUAGGACCUAUAGGGCAGGCCUAUGACCCUACCCUGGGGCUAUAACCCCAUCACUGCAGAUACUAAGUCUUUCGGGUGUGGUUGAAUUGACAACUCAACUGCUAAUACUCGAGAAUAUUCUUUGGCUUCCCCUUGUGUCAAAUCAACAAAUUUGGGUUGAAUACUCUACCCUCGAAAACUAUUGUGAUCCCCUAUACUUGUGGGUUAUCGAGACUAUUUUCUGGCGCUGUUGCCAGAGACGCAUAGCACUAUUCUAUGAGUCACUUGGGAUAUACGUCUGCUGAUCACUAUGAGGAAUCCGAGAGAUCCAAAAACUAAGGUCUUGCCCUCAACUACGAGGACAGGUAAGGAACUGCCAUCUAGCUCUGCAUUUGAUUCACCUUCAAUUAUGAGUAAGUUUGCGACACCACCUCCUGCUAGAAAUUUUGAUAUGUCGCAUGUGCUUGAUGAUGCUACUUCUGCUAUCCAUGAUGCUUGUGAUGAUGCUUUGCUUGAUACUGCUUUGCCACUAGGUGCAUUCCUUGAUGCACAAAUUGCUAGAGUUGCUGUUGAAUGUCAUGAUACUUCUGAGACUGCUGAAAUUAUUGAAGUAAAACCUGCUAUUUCACCUGUUAGAACUAGCUCUCCUAGAUAUGAAUUUCCUGAUAUAUGUGAGGGUUAUGUUAUGGAGGGAGAGAUAGCUGAGGACUUUCUUGCUUAUAAGGAUAGCUAUGAUGUUGAGAAUUUACUGCGCAAGUGGAAACAAAAAUCUCUGAACGCUAGGAUGAAAUACGACCUGAAGUUUGCUACUUGGCCUAUCUUUGUGACCGAUAAGGAUUAUGAAUUCUCUGUCGAUCCUGAGUUAAUCACUAUGGUCGAAUCUGAUCCUUUUCAUGGUUAUGAGUCUGAAACGGUUGUAGCACAUCUUACCAAACUGCACGAUAUAGCCACCCUAUUCAGGAGUGAGGAAAAUAUCCGCCACUACUAUAUCCUUAAGUUGUUUCCUUUCACGCUAAAGGAUGAUGCUAAGACUUGGUUCACUUCUCUUUCUCCUGGUUGUGUGUGUAGUCCCUAGGAUAUGAUCUACUACUUCUCUGAGAAAUAUUUUCCUGCCCAUAAGAAACAAGUUGCCUUGUAGGAAAUAUAUAACUUUGUGCAAGUUGAAGAAGAGAGUCUCCCACAAGGUGGGGGGGCUCGUCCAGCCACUGAAUGCUUUGCCUGAUCACCCUCUUGAGAAGAAUGAAAUACUUGAUAUCUUCUAUAAUGGACUAACAAAUGCUUCUAGGGACCACCUAGAUAGUUGUGCUGGUUGUGUUUUCAGGGAACGAAUUGUGGAACAAGCUGAGAUUCUAUUGAAUAAUAUCUUGUGCAAUGAGAAUGCUUGGACUAUUCCCGAACCACCUCCGAAGCCAACUCCGAAGAAAAGAGGUAUCCUAUUCCUCAGUCCUGAAGAUAUGCAAGAAGCUAAGAAAUCUAUGCAAGAGAAAGGCAUUAAAUCUGAAGAUGUCAAAAAUCUACCACCUAUCGAAGAGAUCCAUGGUCUUGAUAACCCAACAUAGGUAGUAGAGGUAAAUUCUCUUCAUAGAUUCAAUGAGAGUGAUAUUCCUUUUGAUAAACCUGCUAGCUUAUGCCUGGAUGAAUUUGAUAACUUUGUUGCCAAACAACAGAGUUUCAAUGAUUAUGUUAGCAGACAAUUGGAACAGAAUGCUCAUAUGCUUAGUCAUUUAUGUGCUUGUGUGGACAGAAACGUCAAUGAUCUUAAGCUUUUGAGUAAACAUGCAUCUAUGGUUACUACUCAGGUAGAACAAGUACUUAAGGCUCAGAAUGACUUGCUCAAUGACUUCAAUGGCAAUUCUUUUAGAGUCGUCACUAGAGGCGGUAGAAUGACCCAGGAACCUUUGUAUCCUGAGGGUCAUCCUAAGAGAAUUGAACAAGAUUCUCAAGGAGUUAGCACUGACGCACCUAGUCAUCCUAUGAAGAAAAACAAAGAUGAUAGGAACUUGCAUGCUAGCAACCCUGUUGCUGUUACACCCGAGAAUACAAACGAUGUCUCUGUUUCUGAUGCCGAAACACAAUCUGGUGAUGAACAUGAGCCUAGUGAUAAUAUCAAUAGUGAUGUUCAUGAUGAUGCUCAACCUAGCAAUGAUAAGGAUGUGGAGAUUGAACCAGUUGAUCUUGAUAACCCACAACCCAAGAAUAGGAGAUACGAUAAGAACGAUUUCCUUUCUUGGAAGCAUGGUAAAGAAAGGGAACCAUGGGUUCAGAAACCCAUGCCCCUUCCUCCCAAACCAUCCAAGAAAAAGGAUGAUCGAUGAGGAUUUUGAGCGCUUUGUUGAAAUGAUUAGACAUGUGUUUCUGCAAAUGCGUUUGACAGAUAUGCUCAAAAUGUCUCCUUAUGCUAAGUACAUGAAGGAUAUUGUGACUAAUAAGAGGAGGAUACCUAAGGUUGAGAUUUCCACUAUGCUUGCCAAUUACACCUUCAAGGGUGGAACUCCUAAGUAACUAGGUGAUCCCGGAGUACCCACUAUACCUUGCUCCAUUAAAGGCAAUUACGUUAGAACUGCUUUAUGCGAUCUUGGAGCCGGUGUUAGUGUUAUGCCUCUCUCUCUUUAUCAUAGACUUGAACUGGAUAAGUUGACUCCCACUAAAAUCUCCCUGCAAAUGGCCGACAAAUCAACUGCUUUCCCUAUCGGUAUUUGUGAGGAUGUGCCUGUUGUGGUUGCUAACGUUACUAUCUUAGCGGACUUUGUUAUUCUGGAUAUUCCCAAGGAUGAUACCAUGGCGGUCAUCCUUGGAAGACCCUUUUUAAACACUGCAGGGGCUGUUAUUGAUUGCAAUAAAGGCAAUGUCACUUUCCAUGUCAAUGGUAAUGAGCAUACGGUGCACUUUCCGAAGAAACAAUAUCGGGUACAUUGCAUCAAUGCUAUUGAAAAAACUUCAUCGAUUCUUAUUGGGAGCUUUGAAUGCCCUAUACCUACUGUUAAGAUGAAGUAUGAUUUGCUUGUUGGGGAUAUGCACAUCCCCAUUGAGUUAACCUAGUGACUAUUCGAAAAUUCUCCAUUUUUACGCGAUUCGAAAAAAGUUUGUCAAGGAGACUUGAUCAACCUCAUUGACGGAUUUCUUUUGAUGACCAUGAGAUGGAUGAAUCUAAGAGUCACAGCCCUCUCUUCCAAACCUUUACCUUUUGUUGCUUAGAAGAAAAUUGAUAGAUUUAGCUUUAGUUUUCCUGUUUUCUUCUUUUUGCGUCCCGUAGAAAAGUGUCCCAAAAAUAAAAGUUCUUCAAAUGCCCUAAAAAUCAAGUAUGAUUUUUUCUGGAAUUUUUGAAAAUUUCUGAGACGGAGAGCUAGUCAGGGGGAUGCACCAGUGGGCCACAAGCCCAGGAGGCGCGGGCACCCACCUUGGUUGUGCCUACCAGGCUUGUGGGGCCCACGUGUCCCCCCUCCACUUAUUCCAGCUCCCAUCCCCUGCUCCUACCUCAAGAAAAAAUCGUUCCACAGCUCAAACCCGUGUUCUUACUCUUCUUGCUGCAUUUUUCGAUCUCCUUGUGCAAAGCCCCAUUCACCAAACUGUUUUGGGGAAAUUGUUCCUUGGUAUGUGACUCCUCCAUUGGUCCAAUUAGUUUUUGCUCUAGUGCCUUAUUCGUUGUGUAUUUUUGCUGCCUUGGUGCCCCUGUUCUUGAGAUUUGCAUGCUAAUUUUAGCUGGUCCCAAGCAGUUUUGAUGCGUGAUAUGGCCUCUAGGCACUUGUAGGAGUAGUUGCUAUGAGUUUCGUUGAGCCUUGUUCACUUUUCCUUUGAGUCACUGAAAAUUUCAGAAAAGGAAGAUGUUCAGGAGAAACUAUCAUGGUGGUUCCUCAAGCAAGAGGGGUCCCUGUCUCGCGAUUCGGGAGCCCGAUCCUUACCAACCGAGGAACGCACAGGUACAACCAUGUGAAAGGCCUUCUGAUGAAUUCAUGAUUGAUGCAGGUUUCAAAGACGAGUUUGAUAUAUUUGUUCACAACGUCGGGCUCGAAGAAUUCAUCUCCGAUAAUUGUGAACAGUAUACUACUCUCACUGCCUCUUUUGUUCGUAGAUUCAAAUUUUCAGCUUGCCAUGACACAUCCAUACUGUUUGAUCUGUAUGACAAAUCGUAUAACAUGGAUUUAGAGGAUUUCAAUAGAAUUUGCAAGAUACCUGAUUAGGGGUAGUCUCAAUGAUCCUCCUAAGUCUUCGGUUAGAGAUUUUAUCUCUAGUAUAACUGUCGGAGAAACUAGAGAUAUUACGCAGGCUACCAUGGGGAGCAUUCAUUUUCUUGCCUUGCAUUACUUUGCCCUCUUCAUAGGUAGAUGUAUUAACGGCAAGAUUGAGCAUUAUCACCUCUGCGCACCUGACCCUAGUAUUCUUAAGAGCGCAGUAACGGGUGAUAGAAGUUUAAACAUGGGAGCUAUCGUGAGGAAGCUAAAUAAUAAUGCUAAUGAAGGGGAUUUCUUUGGUGGGAUCUAUGCCACUCGCAUAGCAAAUUUUCUUGGAGUACUGCUACUUCUCAAACAACAGCACCAGAAAUUGACACAUUGACGGAGAUUGGGCUUGCGUUGGUUUUUCCCUUGAAGAGGAAAGGGUGAUGCAGCACAGGAGCAGUAAGUACUUCCCUCAGUUUGAGAACCAAGGUAUCGAUCCAGAAGGAGGGUCUCGUCAAGUCCAGAGUACCUUCGCAAACACAAACAAGCUUGCACCCAACGCUUCAAAGGGGUUGUCAAUCCCUUCAAGAUUGUUUGCAAAGUGAGAUCUGAAGGCGGAAAGUGCAACGAAGUAAAAAGUGUAUGGCUGAAAAUAUGGUGUGGAGUAGACCCUGGCGGCCAUAGUGUUCACUAGAGGCUUCUCUCAAAAUAGCAAGUAUUACGGUGGGUGAACAAAUUACUGUCGAGCAAUUGAUAGAACCGCACAGAGUCAUGACGAUAUCUAAGGCAAUGAUCUAGCAUAUAGGCAUCACGUCCAAGACAAGUAGACCGAUACUUUCUGCAUCUACUACUAUUACUCCACACAUCGACCGCUAUCCAGCAUGCAUCUAGUGUAUUGAGUUCAUGAAGAACAGAGUAACGCUUUAAGCAAGAUGACAUGAUGUAGAGGGAUAAUCUCAAACCAAUGAUGAAAACACCAUCUUGUUACCCUUGAUGGCAACAACAUGAUACGUGCCUCGCUACCCCUUCUGUCACUGGGUGAGGUCACCGCACGGUAUGAACCCAAAAACAAGAACUUCUCCCAUGGCAAGAAUCAUAGAUCUAGUUGGCCAAACAAAACCCACAACUCGAAGAGAAUUACAAGGAUAUGAAAUAAUGCAUAAGAGAGAUCAGAAGAUACUCAAAAAAGAUUUAUAGAUAAUUUGAUCAUAAAUCCACAAUUCAUUGGAUCUCGAUAAACACACCGCAAAAGAAGAUUACAUCGGAUAGAUCUCCAUGAGGAUCAUGGAGAACUUUGUGUUGAAGAUCCAAGAGAGGGAAGAAGCCAUCUAGUUACUAGCUAUGGACCCGUAGGUCUAUGGUGAACUACUCACGCAUCAUCGGAGAGGUCGUGUUGUUGAUGGAGAAGCCUUCCGUGUCCGAAUCCCCCCUCCGGCAGGGCACCAGGUAGUGCCCCAGAUGGGAUCUUGCGGAGACAGAAGCUUGCGGCGGCGGAAAACUGAUUACGAUGCUCUCCUGAUUUUUUUGGGAAUAUUUGGGAAUAUAUAGGCACAAGAUCUACGUCAGGGGACCUCCAGGGGGCCCACAAGCCUGCAUGGUGCCCCCCUGGCCGCGGGGUGGGGGCUUGUGGGGCCCCUAGGGCUCUUCUGGCUUGGCCCCCAGGUCCCCCGAUCUUCUUCCGUUCCAGAAAAAAACUUUUUGGGGAUUUUCUUCCGUUUGGACUCCGUUUCAAAACCUCCUCUGAAAGGGGUCAAAAACAUGGAAAAAACAGGAACUCGCACUUGGCACUGAAUUAAUAAGUUCGUCCCAGAAAAUAAAUAAAAGGCAUGCAAAACAUCCAAAGUUUGACAAGAUAAUAGCAUGAAACCAUCAAAAAUUAUAGAUGCGUUGGACACGUAUCAAGUAACCAUCCGCGAAGGAGAUCCCCCGCUCCAUACAGCUUUCCUUGAUCAUGCUGCUUUGACACGUUAUCGGUUCCUUGAGAGGGAUAAUGAAUCCCUCCUAUACCGGUUAAUAUUUAACCGACAACGUGUUUUCCAUAUUACCCUUCCUGCUCCUGCCUUCUUUGACUUUCAGGUAAAAUGGAGAUAUUACAUAACCAGAGGAGAGGCAGAGGAGUAUGAGAGGGAGGCAAAGGCUGCUCGCCUCCGUGAGGCAGCUAUUCAGGCGGUAGCUGCCGCGCUCCCGUACAACCCCCAUUAUGAUUUUUGAUAUCACCCGGACCAGCCAUGGGAGUAGACGAACUUAGGCCAAAAGCUUAAGCCUGGGGGAGUACGUGUUUCUCACUGACUUUAUAUUCAUGCUCACACUUUCACUUCGAUAGUCGGUGUUCACACUUCGCCACUGUAUCAUCCAUGCUAGUUUAUUUCUUUUCCUCGCUUUCUUCUCGUGUGUUUGUUUAGAUUGAGAAAACCCAAAAAUAUUUCAUGUUCUUCUUUUGCUUGUUGGGAGCUUUCCCGUGUAAAUAGUUUUCUUUUUCUUUGGGUCAAGGUAGAAGACCAUGAUUACAAUGUUUAGUGGCUCUCGCAUGCAUAUCUGUUUAUCUGUCAAAGAGCCAUAUUACUUUGUCGUCUCCUUUGUGUUUGCUUGCAGAUUCCAGCUUAGUCCAAUGCACAAACACUCUUAUUAUUGUUCACAUCAUUCGGUCGUGCAAGUAAAAGGCAAUAAUGACGAUAUAUGAUGAAGUGACUGAGCCUGGAAAAGCUGGUAUGAACUCGAUCUAUUUUGUUUUCGUAAAUAUGACGAGCUCAUCGUUCCUAAUUCAGCUUUGUUGUGAGAGAAACAUGUUUGCAAUGAAAACUUAGAGAUCAUAGUUUCUGAUGCCAUGCUUAAUUGGCUAGGAGCUUAUAAUGGUUUGUCUUGGAUGCCAACAUGAAUUUUGAGAUGAUUAUGAUGUAGUAUGAUAGGAUGGUAUCCUCCUUUGAAUGAUUCAAGUGGCUUGACUUGGCGCAUGUUUACACAUGUAGUUGAAACAAGAUCAACAUAGCCUCUAUGAUAUUCAUGUUUAUGGUGAUUUAUGUCCUACUCAUGCUUGCACUCAAUGUUGGUUAAUCUCAAUGCAUAUUGAUGAUUGUUGUCGCUCUCUAGUUGGUCGCUUCCCAGUCUUUUGCUAGCCUUCACUUGUACUAAGCGGGAAUACUGUUUGUGCAUCCACUUCCAUAAACCCAAAGUUAUUCCAUAUGAGUCCACCAUACCUACCUAUAUGCGGCAUCUACCUGCCGUUCCAAGUAAAUUUGCAUGUGCCACUCUCUAAACCUUCAAGUAAUAAUCUGUUUUGCAUGCCUGAACCGCUCAUGUGGUGACAAGGGGUGAUCAGUAUCUUCCAUGCUAGGCGUGUUAUCCUCGAUACGUGUUUAUUCACUAUCAUUCAUGAGAAAGGGGCCGUUCAUUGGAAUGCCCAGUUCCAUGCUCAAAUUGAAAAUAUAAUCGCAAACAAAACUCCCCUGGAUUGUUGUUGGUAUGGACGACACCCGAGUAUUCGGCUAGUCAUGGAGUGUGAUUGAUCCGUGAUACGUCUCCAACGUAUCUAUAAUUUUUGAUGGUUUCAUGCUAUUAUCUUGUCAAACUUUGGAUGUUUUGCAUGCCUUUUAUUUAUUUUCUGGGACGAACUUAUUAAUUCAGUGCCAAGUGCGAGUUCCUGUUUUUUCCAUGUUUUUGACCCCUUUCAGAGGAGNNNNNNNNNNNNNNNNNNNNNNNNNNNNNNNNNNNNNNNNNNNNNNNNNNNNNNNNNNNNNNNNNNNNNNNNNNNNNNNNNNNNNNNNNNNNNNNNNNNNNNNNNNNNNNNNNNNNNNACCCCUUUCAGAGGAGAUUUUGAAACGGGGUCCAAACGGAAGAAAAUCCCCGAAAAGAUUUUUUCUGGAACAAAAGAAGAUCGGGGGACUUGGGAGCCAAGACAGAAGAGCCCCAGGGCCCCAUAAGCCCCCACCCCGUGGCCAGGGGGGUCGCGCCAUGCAGGCUUGUGGGCCCCCUGGAGGUCCCCUGACCUAGAUCUUGCGCCUAUAUAUUCCCAAAUAUUCCCAAAAAAUCAGAAGACGAUCGCAAUCACUUUUCCGUCGCCGCAAGCUUCUGUCUCCGCAAGAUCCCAUCUGGGGCAAGUCCUGGUGCCUUGCCGGAGGGGGGAUUCUGACAUGGAAGGCUUCUCCAUCAACACCAUGACCUCUCCGAUGAUGCGUGAGUAGUUCACCAUAGACCUACGGGUCCAUAGCUAUUAACUAGAUGGCUUCUUCUCUCUCUUGGAUCUUCAAUACAAAGUUCUCCAUGAUCUUCAUGGAGAUCUAUCUGAGGUAAUCUUCUUUUGCAGUGUGUUUGUCGAGAUCCAAUGAAUUGUGGAUUUAUGAUCAGAUUAUGUAUGAAUCUUAUUUGAGUUUCUUCUGAUCUCUCUUAUGCAUGAUUUCAUAUCCUUGUAAUUCUCUUCGAGUUGUGGGUUUUGUUUGGCCAACUAGAUCUAUGAUUCUUGCAAUGGGAGAAGUGCUUGGUUUUGGGUUCAUACCGUGCGGUGACCUCACCCAGUGACAGAAGGGGUAGCGAGGCACGUAUCGUGUUGUUGCCAUCAAGGGUAACAAGAUGGUGUUUUCAUCAUUGGUUUGAGAUUAUCCCUCUACAUCAUGUCAUCUUGCUUAAAGCGUUACUCUGUUCUUCAUGAACUCAAUACACUAGAUGCAUGCUGGAUAGCGGUCGAUGUGUGGAGUAAUAAUAGUAGAUGUAGAAAGUAUCGGUCUACUUGUCUCGGACGUGAUGCCUAUAUGCUAGAUCAUUGCCUUAGAUAUCGUCAUGACUUUGCGCGGUUCUAUCAAUUUCUCGACAGUAAUUUGUUCACCCACCGUAAUACUUGCUAUUUUGAGAGAAGCCUCUAGUGAACACUAUGGCCGCCAGGGUCUACUCCACACCAUAUUUUCAGCCAUACACUUUUUACUUCGUUGCACUUUCCGCCUUCAGAUCUCACUUUGCAAACAAUCUUGAAGGGAUUGACAACCCCUUUGAAGUGUUGGGUGCAAGCUUGUUUGUGUUUGCGCAGGUACUCUGGACUUGACGAGACCCUCCUUCUGGAUCGAUACCUUGGUUCUCAAACUAAGGGAAAUACUUACUGCUCCUGUGCUACAUCACCCUUUACUCUUCAAGGGAAAAACCAACGCAAGCCCAAUCUCCGUUAAUGUGUCAAUUUCUGGCGCUCUUGUUUGAGAAGUAGCAAUCGGUGGUGGGGGAGUCAAAUCUUUACUUUCUGUUUAGGAACCUCCUAUAGUAUGUGUAGCAUGGAAGAUGGUGAGAACUCUUGGUCAUUGCAUUGACAAUGAAAGCAUGCCACCCAAAAUUAUUUAUCUCUGUCUUCAAAGCUUGAGCUCUGGCACCUCUGCAAAUCAAUGCUUCCCUGUGCGAAGGGCCUAUCUAUUUACAUUUCUGUUGAGUCAUCCUCUUCUUAUAAAAGCACCAGUUAGAGAGCACCUCUGUCAUUUCUAUGCUUUGCUUUUAAUUGGUAUUGAGUAUGACUGUGACUGGAUCUUUCUUGGCAUGAAUUACAAUGUUCAGUCAACCCUUGGUCUUUGAAGGUGCUCUGCAUUUAUGUUUUGCGGUGUCAAAAAGAGCUAGCGAGAUACCAUCUGUUCAUAUUGCUUCAUGAUUGUUUUGAUUGAAGUGUUGACGUUUGAAACUUACCAUUAUUGCUCGCUAGUUGAUCAUGCCAUUGAUAUGAGUACAUCUUGAGACCUAAAUGUCAUUGCUUAUGUGGUUUGCUUAUGAUAUUGUUGAAAUUCUGAAUAUGAGUUAGACAUAAUUGCAAUAACAAGAUCAAACAGAGUUCAUAAAAGUUUUUCUUUUGUCUGUUUCAGUUUAUCAACUGAAUUGCUUGAGGACAAGCAAGGCUUUAAUCUUGGGGGAGUUGAUACGUCUCCGUCGUAUCUACUUUUCCAAACUCUUUUGCCCUUGUUUUGGACUCUAAUUUGCAUGAUUUGAAUGGAACUAACCCGGACUAACGUUGUUUUCAGCAGAAUUGCCAUGGUGUUGUUUUUGCGCAGAAAUAAAAGUUCUCGGAAUGACCUAGAAAUUUGCGAGGAUUUUUUGUGGAAUAUAUAAAAAAUACUUGCGCAAGAAUCAACCGGAGGAGUGGAGCGAGGAGCCCACAAGCCCAUGAGGCGCGGGCCCCCUGGCCGCGCCUAGAAGGCUUGUAGGGCCCUCGGGGCUCUGCCGCCUCCAACUCCAACUCUAUUUAGUCCCUUUCGUCCGGAAAAAAAAUCAAGGAGAAGAAUUCAUCGCGUUUUACGAUACGGAGGCACCGCCACCACCUGUUCUUCCUCUGGAGGGCAGAUCUGGAGUCCGUUCUAGGCUCCAAAGAGGGGAGAUCGUCGCCAUCGUCAUCAACAACAUUCCUUCAUCGCCAAUUCCAUGAUGCUCUUCACCGUUCGUGAGUAAUCUCAUCGUAGGCUUGCUGGACGGUGAUGGGUUGGAUGAGAUCUAUCAUGUAAUCGAGUUAGUUUUGAUGGGGAUUGAUCCCUAGUAUCCACUAUGUUCUGAGAUUGAUGUUGCUACUACUAUGCCAUGCUUAAUGCUUGUCACUAAGGCCCGAGUGCCAUGAUUUCAGAUCUGAACCUAUUAUGUUCUCGUCAAUAUAUGUGUGUUCUCGAUCCUAUCUUGCAAGUUGUAGUCACCUACUAUGUGUUAUGACCCGGCAACCACGGAGUGACAAUAGCCGGAACCACUCUCGGAGAUGACCAUAGUAUGAGGAGUUCAUGUAUUCACUAAGUGCUAAUGCUUUGUUCUGGUUCUCUAUUAAAAGGAGAACCUUAAUAUCCCGUAGUUUCCAUUAGGACCCCGUUGCCACAGGAGGGAUGGACAAUAGAUGUCAUGCAAGUUCUUUUCCCUAAGCACGUAUGAAUAUAUACGGAAUGCAUGCCUACAUUACAUUGAUGAACUAGAGCUAGUUACAUAUCUCCCCAUGUUAUAACUGUUGCAUGAUGAAUGUCAUCCGACAUAAUCAUCCAUCACCGAUCCAAUGCCUACGAGUUUUUCCUACUGGUCCUUGCUACAUUACUUUGCUGCUACUAUUGUCACUACUGCUACUGUUACCGCUACUGUUGUCACUGCUGCUAUUGUUACCGCUACUGCUGUUACUGCUGCUACUGUUACCGUUGCUACUGUUGCUAUCACACUACUUUGCUACUGAUACUUUGCUGCAGAUACUAAGUCUUUCAGGUGUGGUUGAAUUGACAACUCAACUGCUAAUACUCGAGAAUAUUCUUUGGCUUCCCCUUGUGUCGAAUCAACAAAUUUGGGUUGAAUACUCUACGCUCGAAAACUGUUGCGAUCCCCUAUACUUGUGGGUUAUCAGUUAUCCCGCAAAUUAGAAGAAAACUGGGGGCUUUGUGGGAGUAGGGACCACCAGAAAGUAGGCGUGAGACACCUCGGGCCCACUCAAAUCCCUCUCUCAUCUCAUACUCUUCCACUCUGCCUCCUGCUCCCCCUUGCUUUACACCCACUCCCUCCUCCUUCGUCGUCAUCAUGGUACCUAUCCAACCGCCAAAUAGGCAUUGACGGAUGUCUGCAGUCACGACCAAUGCGCCGCUCGCCUUUUUCUACGGCGUCAUCCACACAGGAUUCGUUCGUAGGCAGGUACUGUCCACUCCGUGUUGAUGGGGUCCGUGGUGGACACCACACCCGAAAAGGUGUUUGCUGAAAAUGCGAUUGAGCUUAUUUUUUAACUUUUUCUAAUUUUUAGAGUAAGAAGGAUGGUGGGGGUACUUUACCAUGGACGAGUUCUUGUGCGAUGUGUGGUUGGUUGUAUGUGCUAACAUCAUAGGGAGGUGCAUAAGGGGGCCUUUUGGUAGUGCAUGCAUGACUCUUUCGUCCGUGAAGCACAUUGCACCCUAUGACAUGCACACCAUCCAUGAACGGAAUGUUAUGUUGUUAGCAUAUCAAUGUCAAGUUGUUAGCAUAACGAUGAUGGACCACUCAAAACUCCAUAACAAAGUUUUGUGCUGCGGUUGAUCGUAUUGAUGCAUUGUGGCCGUUGCGCAAGACACCCUUCGAGAUCGUAUGUUCUGCUUCCUCUUGCUAAACUUGUUGAUUUAUUUAUUCAUUCACUCAAUGUUUAUCUACAUGUUUUGUAGCAUGUGUGUGUUAUUGUGAUGUACUAUAGAUCAAUGGACAUACCUUUCACGCACAUACAUUGUUGGAUAAAACUCAAGGGGUAGUAUGUGUGUGACAAAAUGAUCCAUCAAUGAAAAACUUGUUGAACAUUUGGUUGAUCUCGUUGAAUUUGAACUAUUGUUGUACUAAACUUUUUGUAUGCCAUGUAUGGUUGUUUUAUGUUAUUUUGUAUCCGAACUUCAUUGAAUUCCAUCAUGUAUAGUUGCAAACAUAUGCGGCUAGCUGUGGAUCGCCGUCUCCCGCAUUACUGCCCGCAGACUGACCCCCCCUAGGUUUGUAGAAGGAUGUGUUGUCCGUUUUGUGGGUGAGAGUUGGCGGUGCCCUUCCACCAAAUAUUAGCUUUGUCUUAAUUUCAAAUUUGUAAAUUUUGACAAAAAUCUUGACAUAAAUAUGAUUGUAUCCUUCAUUUAAUAUAUUUUCACAUCAUAUAUAUUUUUAUAGUAAAUAUUCAUAUUGUUUUCCAUAAACUUGGUUAAAGUUUAUGAAGUUUGACAUAGACCAAAACCAAUAUGUAUAGUAAAUAAAUAUAGAUGAAUAGCUAUUUUAGGGAUCUCAUGUAGGUCAUGAAACUUUGAAAGGUGAUCUCGCUACUGGAAGUGUAAUUCCUAAAAAAUGCAUUACUAGAUCAAUAAAUGUAUAGGUAUGACCAUUGUUAAGGAAAUCGUUAACUGGUAACUGCUCGAUCGUUUGGGCAAUAGGGGAGUAAUGGCCUAAUCGGGAAGUUAAUCAGUCAUUUAAUCAAUUAAUUGAAUGAUGUUUUGGUUUAUCGGCUACUCGAUGACCCUAUGAGUAGGGAUUAAUCGACAAGUUAACCGGAUGAAUUAUUGAACAAAGGUUAUCACAACUUUUAUUAAAACAUUCAGUAUAUAUUAUCAAACUACAGCACCGGGUCCACCAUAGUAUAUAUGCAUACCAUACUUAUUGACAUCAUAACCAUCAGUAGUAUAUUUAUCUAAAUUGCUAGAGCCAGGACGAGCCUUAUUUGUAUGUGGAGUAACAUGAUUAUUGUUCUUAUCCACAAUUUGGAUAUUUUUCAUAAAAGCUGCCUUUCCAUAACCUUCGGAACCAAAAUGACCGCUACCCAUCUGUGGAGAGUUUGUCGAGGCCGUUGGCCCUGUAACAUAUCCACCCCAUAAUGCAUAAUUACAGCUUUGCUUCAUAUAAUGGAAUAGUGAACUUGGCCAAUAUCCGAUAGGUGUAUUUUUCUCGCCGUAAGUCACCCACCAAUUUUUAGUCUUUGGGUCCUAAAAUAAAUCAAGGUUGCAUAGUAAAUGCUUGAUCAAAAUUGAAACGAAGAGACUAUAUGAUAUGUAUAUUGUAGUAAAAGUAUCCUUAUCAUCAUAUCCAACAUAUAUUUCAUGCUUCAAUGUUAAAAUAUCUAUUACGUCAAAGGUUAUUAUUAUUUGUAUUGCCUAAUGGUAUUUCCACUAACAAGUUCACUUAGAGCAAUGCUUGCGAGUCAAAAAAAUCAUUAGAAACGUUAUUGUUUCUUAUGAAAUAAAGGAAAAAUAUAAGCAAAAAUACAAAUUUUAACAUGAGAAUACCUUAAAAAUUUGAACAACAAUCUCAUACUGUGGCCCAUUGUAAAUAGAAACCGGAUGUAUUCUUCCUCCAAGACCAACUAUUGAGCUAACUUGUACGAAAGCAGGACACUCAUGAUCAACACAAUCCUUGUUUUGCAAGCCAUCAUACUACAUCAAAUGUAUUCCAAUGUCCGUAAAAAUAACAUCAUUAUGAAGUAUUUACAUUUCUAUAAACAAUGUUCAUCCAAAAAAAUAGUUGUCAUUUACCCAGUAAACAUGAAACCUGGCAAAGUUGUCACCACUGUAGCUUGGAUAUACCCAAGAACCAACACCUAUUGAAUCUGCAUUGGUUACUUCCGACCUCCCGCCAAUUUGUAUAGAUGAUGCACUAAGAUCCUUACUUCCAGUCUUCACCUUUGGCUCAUAAACAUUUAUUCUCGCUCGCGUUCCGUAUAGCUCAUCAAAAUAUUUGAUUCCUGCGGCCUACAGACAAAAAAAGUUGCAUUUUUCAUGAAAAGAGAAAAAGCAUUAGCAUAGUUAAAAUGUUUGACAUCAUAUUACAAGUAAUAUUACUAGAAUUUCAAUUAAUAUUGCCUAGAUACUAAGGGCAAUUUAUAUAAAACAUUUGUACAAAAUGUGGUUGGAACUUGGUGGAGACAAUAAAUUUCAAAUUUAUUUCCACACUAUCGACACCAAAUAAAUUUCACGUUUACACAAUUAACUAUUUCUUUUACUUGUUUUAAUAUAUUGGACAAGAAAAUCCAAUCCAAAUAUGAAUUUGCAUGGGAUACUCACCUGGAGUGUAUUGGGACAUGCAACUAUAUUACACCAUUAUUGUACAUUCAAUGUCCUCAUAGAAACUUAUAUAUUUUCAUAAUCUACCUAGCUAACUGGAUCACCCAAACCAUGUGCUAACAUGAUAUUUACCUCUUGUUGUUCACCUUUGGCAACCACUUGAUCAGUACUAUAUGUUGCCACGUGGUCCCCUCUAUUGUUACGCAGUAUUGGAAUCGUUCCUGUAGGGCAGUCAAUGAUAGACAACUGUGCUUGUGGGAUAGUAUGCAUCGAUGAUGGAGAUUCCGUGUGCACAUUAAACGGGAGAGAACUGGGUUCCAUCUAUUUAAGAAAGAAAACUCAAUCAUCAUAUAAUCAAAUGCAUAUUUCCAGCAAUAAUAAAAUAUAUGCACAAAACUAAGGACAUGUACAUUUGAUCGUUUGACAAAAAGUUGUUUGGUUUUUCUUCUAGUACAAAAUCAUUGCCUAAAGAGAAACACAAAGUGAUUCAUGAUAAAUGUGAGUGUAGCUGAAUAAAAGUACAACCAUUACUACAUAUGAUAUGUUACCUACCUACAAGUGAUUAUAGAGAACAUGCCCUUCAUUUUGGAUUCAAACAUGAAUAUUGACAUUUAGUUUAGCCACUACAUAAUAGUAACGAUAUCAUCAUGAUAAUAAAUGACCUGGAUUUUGUGAUCUUUCAGCAAUGGGUGGUGAAAGGCGGGUUGCAGAUUCACACCAACGCAGUCAUAUACAUCUCCACCUUCAACCUAUUUUGAUGUUUCAUCAUGUUCAUAAUAAUCACAUAAAUAAGGAUAUAUAUGGAUAAUAAGAAGAAUACAUGUACAUACCAUAAUAGUCUUGUUAACUUGACAAUUCAUGAGGACCCUAGAAGUAUUGCUCCCUCCUUUUAUACAUUUUCCUUCGGUACCUCCGAUGGAUAGAGCAAAAUAGGCAAACAGAAUGAUCACUCUAAUUGAUGGCUUUUCUUUCAUGGUGGAAAUAUAGCAUGGUCUAUUUCUCAUGUUCAUCCUUCCAUAUUUAUAAUGAUAUGAGCAUUUCGUUGAAUAUCUGGCAUUCAAUAAGGGCUAUCAAUUGCAUUGAAGUGUGAAGAUCUCACAUCUUAAAAAAGCAUGGCAUUAAUUGUUUAAGAUGUGAUAAUUAUUUCAUACCUUAAUUCUCUUUUGCCAUCGAAUAUUUUAGGUACUCACAUCAAAUAUGAAUUUUAGGUCAAUUAAUAGUGUUGAACUAAUGAACGCGCAUAUUUUGUGAGUGUGGGUAUACAAUAUCGACCAGUGAGUGCCUAAGGUCUUGUGGGGUGCAUUUAGUCAUGAUGAGGUAGGUACUUGAUGACCCACAAGUAUAGGGUAUCAAUAGUAGUCAUUUAGAUAAGUAAGGGUGUCGAACCCAACGAGGAGCAGAGGGAAUUCAUAGGCAGUUUUCAACAAGGAUUUCAUUGCAAGUAUUGUGAGACAAUUAUAAUAGAUACUUUGUUAGCAAGAUAAUUGGUAACAAGUAGCAAGUAAAAAAGUAGCAAGGUGAAGCAAUGUGGCCCAAUCCUUAAUUAUGCUAAGGACAUGUCGGUGAUACUUCUUAUAGUGAACAAAAGGCUCUUGAGGAUAGAAAGGAAUAUCGCCAAGUUACUUUCACCGCAAUUCAUUGACUUAAAGUUCAUUACCUUCAUAAGAGUUAUGAGGGUGGACCCAAGCUAAGGUAUUGUUCUUACUUUAAAAAAUACAAAUAUGUGAUUAUACCCUCCAUGCAAGCAUCCUUAAAUAAAAUAAAAAGUAUUUAAGGUAAACUUAACCAUAGAAUUAAACACGUGGCUUCAUAACCCACAAGUAUAGGGGAUCGUAACAGUUUUCGAGGGUAGAGUAUUCAACCCAAAUUUAUUGAUUCGACUCAAGGGGAAGCGAAAGAAUGUUCUCAAGUAUUAGCAGUUGAGUUGUCAAUUCAACCACACCUGAAAUAUUUAGUGUCUGCAGCAAAGUAUUAGUAGCAAGGUAGUAUGAUAGCAGCAGUAGCAACAGAUUAACAGUAGCAGCAGUGACAGCAGUAGCGGCAAAGUAACAGAGCAAAGACCAGUAGUAAAAGACUCGUAGGAAGUGGAUCGGUGAUGGAUGAUUAUGCCGGAUGUGAUUCAUCAUGCAACAGCUAUAACACGGAGAGAUAUGUAACUAGCUCCCGUUCGUCAAUCUAAUGUAGGUAUGUAUUCCGUAUGUAGUCAUACGUGCUUAGGGAAAAGAACUUGCAUGACAUCUAUUGUCCAUCCCUCCCAUAGCAGCGGGGUCCUAAUGGAAACUACAGGAUAUUAAGGUUAUCCUUUUAAUAAAGAACCGGACGAACGCAUUAACACUUGGUGAAUAUACGAACUCCUCAUACUAUGGUCAUCUCCGGGAGUGGUUCCGGAUAUUGUCACUCCGGGGUUGGCGGGUCAUAACACAAAGUAGGUGACUGCAACUUACAAGAUAGGAUCUAAAACACACAUAUAUUGGCGACAACAUAAUAGGUUCAGAUCUGAAAUCAUGGCACUCGGGCCCUAGUGACAAGCAUUAAGCAAGGCAAAGUAGUAGCAACAUCAAUCUCAGAACAUAGUGGAUACUACGGAUCAAUCCCCAUCAAAACUAACUCGAUUACAUGAUAGAUCUCAUCCAACUCAUCACCGUACUACAAGCCUACGAUGAUAUUACUCACGAACGGUGAAGAGCAUCAUGGAAUUGGUGAUGAAGGAAGGUUGAUGAUGACGAUGGCGAUGAUUUCCCCUCUCCGGAGCCCANNNNNNNNNNNNNNNNNNNNNNNNNNNNNNNNNNNNNNNNNNNNNNNNNNNNNNNNNNNNNNNNNNNNNNNNNNNNNNNNNNNNNNNNNNNNNNNNNNNNNNNNNNNNNNNNNNNNCCCUCUCCGGAGCCCAGAACGGACUCCAGAUCUGCCCUCCAGAGGAAGAACAGGAGGUGGCGGCGCCUCCGAACGCGAUGAACUCUUCUCCUUGAUUUUUUUUUCUUGGCGAAACGGAGUAUAUAGAGCUGAGAUUGGAGGCGGUGGAGCUCUGUGGGCCCCACAAGCCUGCCAGACGUGGCCAGGGGGGUGGCCGCGCCUCCUGGGCUUGUGGCCCACUGGCUCACCUCCUCCGGUGGAUCUUUGUGCAUGUAUUUUUCAUUAAUUCCGGAAAAGUUCUCCGUAAAUUUUCAGGUCAUUCCGAGAACUUUUAUUUCUGCACAAAAACAACACCAUGGCAAUUUUGCUGAAAACAGCGUUAGUCUGGGUUAGUUCCAUUCAAAUCAUGCAAACUAGAGUCCAAAACAAGGGCAAAAGAGUUCGGAAAAGUAGAUACGACGGAGGCGUAUCAACUCCCCCAAGCUUAAAGCCUUGCUUGCCCUCAAGCAAUUCAGUUGACAAACUGAAAGAGACAAAAGAAAAACUUUGACGAACUCUGUUUGAUCUUGUUGUUGCAACUAUGUCUAACUCAUAACCAUAAUUUCAGCAAGAUCACAAGCAAACCACAUAAGCAAAUGACAUCUAGGUCUCACAGUAAACUCGUAUCAAUGGCAUAAUCAACUAGCGAGCAAAUAAUAAUAAGUCUCAAACGUCAACACUUCAAUCAAAACAAGCAUGAAGCAAUACGAAUAGAUGGCAUCUCGCUAGCUCUUUCUCAGACUGCAAAACAUAAAUGCAGAGCACCUUCAAAGAACAAGGGUUGUCUAAACAUUGUAAUUCAUGGCAAAGAAGAUCCAGUCACAGUCAUACUCAACACAGUUAAAAGCAAAGCAUAAAAAUGACAGAGGUGCUCUCUAAUUGGUGCUUUUAUAAGAGGAGGAUGACUCAACAGGAACAUAAAUAGGCAGGCCCUUCGCAGAGGGAAGCAUUGAUUUGCAGAGGUGUCAGAGCUCAAGCUUUGAAAACAGAGAUAAUAAUUUUGGAUGGCAUGCUUUCAUUGUCAACGCAAUGACUAAGAGUUCUCAACAUCUUCCACGCUACACAUGCUAUAGGCGGCUCCCAAACAGAAAAGUAAAGUUUUGACCCCCCCCCCCACCAAUCAAUCACACUCCACGGCUAGCCGAAUCCUCGGGUGCCAUCCAUACUAACAUCAAUCCAGGGGAGUUUUGUUUGCAAUUAUCUUUUCGAUUUGAGCAUGGAACUGGGAAUUCCAAUUACCGACCCCUUUCUCGUGAAUGAUAGUGAAUAAACAUAUAUCGAGGAUAACACGCCUAGCAUGGAAGAUACUGAUAGCCCCCUGUCACCACAUGAGCGGUUCGAGCAUGCAAAACAGAUUAUUUCUUGAAGAUUUAGAGAGUGGCACAUGCAAAUUUACUUGGAACGGCAGGUAGAUACCGCAAAUAGGUAGGUAUGGUGGACUCAUAUGGAACAACUUUGGGUUUAUGGGAGUGGAUGCACAAGCAGUAUUCCCGCUUAGUACAAGUGAAGGCUAGCAAAAGACAGGGAAGCGACCAACUACAGAGCGACAACAGUCAUCAAAAUGCAUUGAGAUUAACUAACAUUGAGUGCAAGCAUAAGUAGGACAUAAAUCACCAUGAACAUGAAUAUCAUAGAGGUUAUGCUGAUUUUGUUUCAACUACAUGCGUAAACAUGCGCCAAGUCAAGCCACUUGAAUCAUUCAAAGGAGGAUACCAUCCUAUCAUACU